UCCGAGACCUUCACAAAAAAGUUGGAAGGACUCAAUUUCACAUCUGCACCUCUGAAAUGUAUUGUAACUUCAGGAACUUGAGAUAGUGAAUUAAAACUGUAGCAAAGUUCAAAUGAUCCUUUAGGGUCUGCAACAGGUUGUGCCUCAAUCAUACUGGACAUUACUGACAACAGUUUUGAGUUAUAACCUUGUGGCAAUAAGGUAAGUGUUGUACCAGAAUCGAUUACAAUGCCUCCUCCUGGAGUCGAUCCAGACAUAACUGCUAGUCUUUGGUUUCCUACACUGAUUGCAUCAAUUGUGAGAACAUAAAAGGUUUUGGAUUUAACAAUCAAGGGAGUAGAAACCACUCCUGGACCUGAAACAAUUCCAUUGGUUCCAAAAUUGAUUUUGGUUGAGCUUGCCUGAACCAAACAAUAGGAGAAUUUAGCAGCAAUUGUAGAUCGCAUUUGAGAAAUAAGUGAAAUAUCGCCGCCUCCAAGGCCAACAAUUCCGGUUGUUUUUGAAUUAAACAAGCCACCAUUGUUUGUUCCGCAACCAAAGGUUAUUCCAGGCAGAGCCACGGCCUGUCCUGUUGUUGAACCCAAAGUAACAGUUUCGGUAGCAAGAUUGCCAUUUGAGAAGGAUCCAUCUCCAUAAGAGACCGAGUAUUGACAAUUUACCCCAGAGCAAGAUUUUUGGUUAAGAGAUGCACAUUGGCUUGACGAGCAUGGAAGAGAUUUGUAAGUAGAUGACUUUUUAGGAUCAAAAAGUGGAGAGUCCUGCAUGUAACAUUGUGAUGGUGGGCAAGGCUCGCACUGCGUCCAUAUGAGGUCACUUCCUGUAUCAGCAACAGCUAGUCUUUCAGUAGGGGGAGUACCAAUUGAUAUACGUAUGAGAUAGUUCGCGUUAUUGGGUAUUAUAUCAGCUUGGGAAGCUUUUGAUGAAGAUAUUGAUGAGUUCUGAUUAAAGUGAUUGAGACGAUUGAGAGAACGAGUCAAAGCAUCUCUCAAUCGUUGGUAGGGAGUUUCACUGGAGUUGUAAAAGGGAGACUUGGGAGAGUCACGGUGGAUUAGCUCAACACUGAAACCUCCAGUUUGAGCUUCUAUAGGAGAGACGACAUAAAAACAAAGAAAGAAGAGAAUGAAUACACAACUCAAGAAGGUCGCCAUAAUCAAAGCUGUGAGUGAGAUAAAAAAAAAAAAAAGUAAAGAAGAUGAGCUUCCAAGAAAAUGAAACUCUCUCAUGUAGUCAGCUUUUGUUAGAGUGACAAUUAUCUUAUUGUUGCAACUUGGGUGACAAUUUUUGAAUUUGUUUGGCUUAAAAAUCCUUCUUCUACUACUAGAAAAAUAGGCUACUAUGAUAGAAUUUUUGUGAUAGAUUUUAAAAAAUUAAUCAUUUAUCAUAAAAAUAUGACAGACAUGUGAUAGAAUGUUCAUAUAUCGUAAAGACAUGAUAGAUUUGUGAUAGUUUAUUUAUCUAUCAAAUACACAUGAUAGCAUAUUAAUAUUUAAUGAAACAUUGAAUUUAUAAUGGGCCAAUUUGGGCAUGGAACGACACCGUAUCUUGAUACCAAUAAAAAAAAAUUUAAGUGUUGGACUCCCCUUCGGCUUCACAUGGCAAGCCCUAAUUUCUUAAUCCAAACCUAAUCACACACAAACACACAAUCACGCUGCCUACACAGAUUUGGUCAUCUGCUGUGCUGCUUGCCGACAACAAAUUGCUGCUCUUCGUCUUCGUCUUCGUCUUCGUCUUCGUCCUCAUCCCCGAUCUCUAGCUUGCUGGCUAUUCCCAUUUCCUUUUGUUUCGCAACUUAAUGGUUGUUGCCGGUAGCCUACUACCUUCUUCAACUCCGAGCUAUAGCUAAUGUCUUCUUAAUUUAGAUUUUCUUCAAGUUCGAGUUGCUGUUACUGUCUUCUUUUGUGAGAAGUAAGCUGAUGGGUUCCUUCAUUUGUACACUAGGGUUUGGGGUUCUCUGAUCAGAAUAUAUCGGCUGGUCUGGUGAUUGCUCAACCGCCGUCGAUUUUUGAGGUGCCGCCCAGGUUGAGCCCCGCAAUUCUGCUUGACUCGCUAAAUUUCAGUUUGUUUUCGCCUACACAGGUAAUUCAAUUUAACUUUGUCAGACUUAAAGUUUCUUCAUUUAUUCAUUAGAUUUUAGCUUGUUUAGGAAAGCUUUCAUUUUUAUUGGGUUUCGCAUUUAAAUUCUAAUAAUCCUUGGGUUUGAAUUUUGAUUUUUUUUUUGGAGGGAUGGAGAAUUUUCUUCAUUGCCUUGAUUUGUUAGCAGUCGGUUGGAAUUUUGAAUUAGAGCUUGCUGAAGCAUUUACUAUAGAAUUUAUAAAUGUGCCCUGUAAUUGGGAUAAAAACUCUUGACUUAAUUAAUCUGAAAGAAGAACAUUUUGAGCAAUGUUGUAAUGUGAUUGUGCAUUGCUGAGAUAAUCUCAUCUUGUUUUGGUAUUCUAAAUAUCCAAAUGGACUGGAUAGUAGGCUAUCCAGGUCAAGUUUUAAUGGUAAUCGGGCAUUUUUCUUUCUUGAUUUUAGUUUCAUCUCUUUUUAGAUGAAGCAUAUGGUUAAUGCAAACAAUUAACGAAAGAAAAGCUCUUGGUAUUACUAGUGUUGGAGAUCCAAUUGUCUUCAUGUAAACUGUGAACACUUUUAACUCCCAUAUCUAAGAUAUAAAGAUCUUUAUGUAGCUUUAAGCCAAAUAUGUGAGAAAUUCUCCAAUCUAGUCACAACUUUAUUAGCAACCAAGAAUGAAAGAGUAUUAGCUUCCAGUUAUAAUUUGAUGACCGGAGCUUGAAUGAGUGAGUGAUAACUUGUAUUGUCUAUAUUGCUUUGUAUGUCAUGCCUCACUGGCAUUAUGUUACUUGGGUAUCCAAAUUUUGCGUUUAUCUAUUACUAAUUUCCCUGAUUCAUUGGAUGCAACCUAGGGAGCCUUUAGAAUGAAGCACUAGCAGGCCCUAGCACAGGUCACUGCCCAAGCUGNNNNNNNNNNNNNNNNNNNNNNNNNNNNNNNNNNNNNNNNNNNNNNNNNNNNNNNNNNNNNNNNNNNNNNNNNNNNNNNNNNNNUGUUAACACACUGAAUAAUUUCCUCUGUGACUUCAAGGUUUUAAUCAAAUUUAGAGGUAUAUGUGGUUCUCAAACCCAUUACAAUUGACUGGUACUUGUGUUUUUUUGUUUUAUUAGAAAGAUAUCUUCUGCAAAAACUUUAUGAAAUUCACUUUUGGAAAUGCAAAUGCUUUGUGUGGUGGUACUUGCAUUUAUUUGCUUGGUCUUCUACCAUUUCAGUCAAAUGAUUUAUUUUGACUCGUGCUUAUGACUAACUUGUUGAUAGAGAAACUAGGCUGUUUAUGGAUGUAUUAAUGUGCAUCCUAUUAUUUUUCUCUUAAUUGACAUGUUGAACUUUUUGGAAGAUUUUUUUUUUCAAUUUGAUUUGUCACAUAUUGUGCUAUGUUAAUUGGAAAUGUUUUGGUUUGUGGUCCAUGUUGCACUUACUAGUCCUCAGUACUUGGUGGUCCUUUAGCAUCAUAAAUUAAAUUGGAUGCAUUUAAAGCAUCCAUUGCGUAGCAUCAUCACACUAAAGGGUCUCAUCUAGUUAGAAUAUUUUUUCUGCUUAUUUCCUCCAGAAGAGACAUUAUAUAAGAGUAUAUAGAUUCAAUCCUAAAUGGACAAUCAGAGUUGGUGACUAGGUAAACUAGCCGAGCAAAGAAUGGUCUUGCAAAGCUAAAUUGAAGAUGUAAUUUUGGAAAAAUUGAAACAGCUGGUCCAUAAAUAAUGAUACUUUUGCUCCUAAGAACCAAGAGAUUCCAGCCUAUCUAUCUUUUUUUGGUUUUUGUAUAUAUAUAACUCAUGAGAUUUAUAAUUUUUCAUUAUCAUGUUAACCCCUGGUCUGGACUGUCCUAAUAUUUAAACUUCUUUCCACCAUUUUCAAUUCUUAAAUUGACCAAUAUUUAUCUCAAUGUGUCCCUUUACUUGCCCAUUGAAUUUUGCAUCAAGGAUCUGAUGUGGUAGAAGAGAAGCUAACAAUUUAUGCGCUCGACAAUGUCUUUGCCUUUUGAAUUGAUUGAGAGAUCAUCAUUUCUUCACCCACUGGAAACUUUAGAUUAUGCUUUACGCUUUGGGCUUAGACUGGCAAGCCUACAAUCAUGGUAUUAAAGUUGGUAGAUUGAGGAGAUUCUGGUGAUUCCAGAAUUUUCUACAUUUUCUCUUUAUCUUUUGGAUUUUUAGAACUUUUUCCUUUCUUUUUAUUAGCUUGAUUUUGAUGGAUUUUAUUUAAUUAUACUGCUGUACCGUACAUCCGCCUUGGCCGUACAGCAGUAAAUUUCAGUUUGUUUUCGCCUACACAGGUAAUUCAAUUUAACUUUGUCUGACCUAAAGUUUCUUCAUUUAUUCAUUAGAUUUUAGCUUGUUUAGGAAAGCUUUCAUUUUUAUUGGGUUUCGCAUUUAAAUNNNNNNNNNNNNNNNNNNNNNNNNNNNNNNNNNNNNNNNNNNNNNNNNNNNNNNNNNNNNNNNNNNNNNNNNNNNNNNNNNNNNNNNNNNNNNNNNNNNNNNNNNNNNNNNNNNNNNNNNNNNNNNNNNNNNNNNNNNNNNNNNNNNNNNNNNCGGGCAAAGAAUGGUCUUGCAAAGCUAAAUUGAAGAUGUAAUUUUGGAAAAAUUGAAACAGCUGGUCCAUAAAUAAUGAUACUUUUGCUCCUAAGAACCAAGAGAUUCCAGCCUAUCUAUCUUUUUUUGGUUUUUGUAUAUAUAUAACUCAUGAGAUUUAUAAUUUUUCAUUAUCAUGUUAACCCCUGGUCUGGACUGUCCUAAUAUUUAAACUUCUUUCCACCAUUUUCAAUUCUUAAAUUGACCAAUAUUUAUCUCAAUGUGUCCCUUUACUUGCCCAUUGAAUUUUGCAUCAAGGAUCUGAUGUGGUAGAAGAGAAGCUAACAAUUUAUGCGCUCGACAAUGUCUUUGCCUUUUGAAUUGAUUGAGAGAUCAUCAUUUCUUCACCCACUGGAAACUUUAGAUUAUGCUUUACGCUUUGGGCUUAUACUGGCAAGCCUACAAUCAUGGUAUUAAAGUUGGUAGAUUGAGGAGAUUCUGGUGAUUCCAGAAUUUUCUACAUUUUCUCUUUAUCUUUUGGAUUUUUAGAACUUUUUCCUUUCUUUUUAUUAGCUUGAUUUUGAUGGAUUUUAUUUAAUUAUAUAUGGAAGGUUAGAUGUUGUGCAUUAAUUAAAUUGUAGUCUUGAAAAAAUACUCUUUAAAAAAAUUCAUCUAGAAAUUUAGAAUUGAAAUCUGUAGAAUGCUAGACUAAAAGUUCUCUUCUCGUCUUUGGCAUUGCACUUGGUUUUAUAUUUCUCUUUACUAUGUACUCUGUUGCAAAAUAUUUUGUUUAUACUUAAUCUUUUAUAAUCCAGCAACUCUUAGGAAGACCUAGUCAACUGUCACUGCUACAUAAGCAUUCAGGUUAUACUGCUUUAUCAUCAUUUUUAUUUUCUUCCCUUUUUCUCUUUUACAGCUUGUGAGCUUACUGCUUCAUUAUGUCAAUUGUCGAAUGUGAUUUUCUAUUUUCUCUUGGGUUGUUUAUUCUCAUUUUCCCUUUAGUAUCAAAGCUGAUUAAAUCAAUUAGACACUGAUGAAUUUUAUUAUGAAUUUGAUUAAUUGUAAGUGGGCAAUAUAUUAAUAUGUAUUUUUUUGGCACUCAUUUUAUUGUAACCUAUGUUUCAGGUGAUGUUGGUGGCUUUCGGGAAUUUACUAAGAGUGUUUUUUUUAUGGAUUAAUUGUUUUUCUAGUGAUGUGUUGGUGAUUGGAUAUUGUAAAGGAUUUAUUAGAUAUUGUAUACGGAUUUGAUUCACCAUAUAUUUUGUGAUGCUAUUUGUUGGAAGUUUCAAGUGAUUGAAAUUUUUAGCGCAUCACACAAUUUGGUAUUUGAUAGUUUUUAUGAAUUUGAAUGUAAUUUUUAUUUCAAUUAAUUCAAGUUUUAAAUGUGGUUUUUGUUGUUUUUAUUUCAAAAUUCUGGAAUUUAAAUAAUAAUAAUAAUUAAUAUUAUUAUAAUUUCAAAAUUAAAAAUAAUAAUUUUAUUCUUUUUUAAACCUUAAAUCUCAUGACAGAGAAUGUGAAUCAUUGAUAUAUGACAGCUUUUGAAGAAACCCAUCAAAUUCAAAAUAAUUUAAAUAACCCGCUAAAAUUUCCAAUUAAUUCUCGAAAGUCUUUCAAAACGACGUCGCUUGGUUCGUGACACAUGUGUGAUAAAUAUACACUGUCAUGGGAACAUGUGAUAGAUAAAAUGUUGUCACAGAUUUGUGAGAUGAGCUACAAUGACAAAUGGAAACUCUGUCAUAAGAGGGGUCGGAUGACAUAUAUUCUCUGUCAUGGUAGCCCAUUUUUCUAGUAGUGUUCUAUGUGAACUUAGACCAGAUGAAAGGGAAGCAAGCUUAGCCACAUGUCAAUGUAAUCGAGAUUGUUUAUUGGUGAAAUAUAAAUUAUAUAUAUAAACUAAACUAUAAGCAUAAUACUUAUGAGAAUCAUUGAGGACAGCUUAAAACUUUGAUCUUAUCGUCUAAUUACUUGAUGCCUAGCUAUGAUGACAUCACAACAGGUGAAGUAAGCAUACACUUUCACUGUCUUUAUAUCACGUUUUACUCUUUACGAAGUCUUUCUUUUAUGCAAACGCUUUUGCUUUUUCUUAAGACUUAUUUCUUAAAUAUAUUUUGUUCGACUUUUAGUAUAAAAGUAGCAUAGUCAAUUAAUGCUUUAAAUUUACAAUUGUUCAUCGUUUACCAAGUCUGUUGCCAAUAUAAAUUUCAUAGUCUGAAUGGCUGUCUUGUCUUCAGCCUUUGAUGUGUGAACUUGGCUCACACAAUUGACACGCUUUCAAAGAACCGUCCUGCUUUUUGAGCUUUAAAGAAAACAAAUCAGGGAUGCGAAAUUAACGGGAAACACACAUUAUCGUAUUAAAAUAGUUCAAAUCAAAUGGGGUCGUAUGACAGUCGAAAAGUCUUUCAGUUCAUAUCGUGAUUCCAUGAGUUACGGUUCAUUUACGCAACUCAAGACAGCUACAAGACGCAAAAUUAUUGCUUUAGUAGUUGCUUGAAAGCGUGAUGGGAAACCCCAAUAUCAACGAGAACAUGAUCAUAUCCCGGAGUACAUAUGCAAACCCCAAAACACAACGUUGCUGUUCCCACAAAAAAAUUUCAAAUCCUAAUUUCAAUGUACAAAUCUCCAAGUUUUAUGGAAAUAACAUAAAGUACACAGACACCAAAUACGUAUGGGAAAAACCUCAGAGUUAACGAAGAAACCCAAGUUUCAAUUAAUGUGCCAAUAUCCAAUUGUUAUAAGAAAUAACUCGGAGUACAAACCCUAAAUAUGUACGGGAAAAAAAAACCGGAGUUAGUUUUUGAGAGAGAGAAAUUAAUUAUAAAUAAGAUGAUGUGUGAAUUUUACAGAGAGAUUGAAAAUUUAAAUUCUAGAGUGAGAAUGUGUGUGUUCAGAGAGACUAUGCGGAUGAAUAUCAACCAUUACAUUGUAAGCAUUUAAAAUCUCAUGGAAACUUUUUAACUACCGGUUGAAAAAAUUCCAAAUUACAGUAAUUAAAUUAGUCGCAGCCGUUCAUGAAAUAUAAUGUUGGAGACACAGGGAUGUCCGGUCCGGGCGGACCGUAGCUUAGGACCCUAAUAUGAAUGGUUGUCUCUUCUUUUAAGAUUAACAAUAAUACUCAUCAAGAAACCAAAAUCCAUAGUGACCCUUAAUUUGUGAACUUCAGCUAGCUCGCACAGUCACAUGCUUCCAAAGAAUUUUCCGGAUUUUAAGCUUAAAAGAAAAAAAAAGAAAAAAAAAGGAGACGACAAGUAUAUUGGAGAAACAUCAUUAUCACAUUAAAUAGUGUAAAACGGGGUCGUGUGACAUUCAAUUAUUCAAAAAGUCUUUUAGCUCAUAUUUUGAUUGAAUUGCUGUUGACGAAGACUUUAAAAUUAUUUUUAGUAUUGUGGUGUUGGGCUGUUGUAGUUCAUCACUAAAAUUUUUAACACUACUAAAAAUUGGGAGAUUCUCAAUUUUCUCUUUACUCUAAUUAAUAUAUAUCACUUAUUUCCUACCAUUUUUAUAAUAGUUAAUAAUCCUCCGGAUAGUAUAAUUUUACAAUAGUAUCCUUAUUUUCAAAUAUACUUUUAUUCAUAUUUAUUAUAAAUUAAAUAAAUCAUAUUAAUGAAAAUUAAAAUUAAGUAUUAAAAAAACUAUGUUUUGAUGUAAACAAAAAAUUAAUUAUAUUUUUUUGAACUUUUUAUUUUAUAAAAUAUUUUCUUAUAAUAAAUAUAUAACAAAAUUAUUAUAAAAUGAUAAAAAAAUAUUAUAAUAAAAAUAUUAUAAAAUAAAUAAUAACACAUUUUUCUUGUACUUUCUACAUUUAAUUUUAAAAUAUUGUGAAAUAUAUAUUAUAAGAAAAUGUCUAUAAAAUAAAAAAGAACAAAAAAUAUUUUAUUAUUAAUUUUUUUAUUCGCGUCAAAACAUAAAUUUCUUAUUUUUAAUGCUUGAUUUUUUUAUCUUAAUUUCCAUUCAUAAGUUAUUUAAUUUAUAUUAAAUAUGAAUCAAAAUAUAUUUGAAAAUAAGGAUAAUAUUGUAAAAUUAUUUUUUAGGGGGUGAUUGACUAUUAUAAAGACAGCAAAAGGUAAAUGAUAUGUAUUGAUUAUAGUAGGGAAAAAUUAACAAUCAAGCAGAAAAUUAUUUUCCCAGUUGUUUUAAAGAUUUUUAUCUUUUUCUAUAAACUUCCAAUUUAAGAGGCGUUUUUUUAUAUCUAAUUAUUAGAAUUUAUUAUAUUAAAAUAUCCAUAAAAUUGAAUUCUAGGUUUUCUAAUGGAUUGAUGGUAAUUGAAAAUUUUUAUACAUCAAUAAACAAACUCAUUCAUUAUAUUAUUUUCACAUGCUAUGAUUUUGUUUUAUUUUAGGUGACAACUCAAAUGUUACUGUAUGUUAUAUUAUAUAUAGCAUAGCACGAACCUUCAUUCAUAUGCAAGAGAAUUUGAAAAGAUCAUCCCAACAUUUAAUGUCCAUGCAAAAUUUCAAAUGAAACUAACUAAAUUUCCAACAGAAUGCACACAAAUUGUUAGUUCUCUCUCUCACCCCUUCUCUCCCUCUCUCCAACUUUUACUGCAAAUGAAUAUCUCAACUUGGAAUCCAACAAUAACAAAUCUUAUCAUUUUUGUAUUCUUUAAUAAUAAAUCCUAGCAAGCCCUUGCAGGGCUAGCUCCUUACUUUUUAUGAGGCCUCCUUACUAUCACCAACCUCAACACUCAAAAGGAAUAUAUAAGAGCUCAAAGUUUAAUUAAUUUUUAAUUUUAAAUAUAAAAAAUCAACAUGGCGUAAGAAAUUUCAAAAAAUAAAAGGAGUCAAUAAGUAUCUUUUUUACUUCCUUUAGAACUAUUUUUUCAAGAAACUAUUCUUUUUUUUUUCUUAAUUUCAAAAGUGAACCAAUAAAUGUAAUAAUUUUCCUUAUAAAGAAGAGCAGAAGAAAUUUUGUAAUGUUAAAAAAAUAAGAUUUUUUUAAAAUAGAUAAAUAAUUUAAUUUUUUCUUAGAGAAACUACUAAUAAAUUAAGGAUUAGACAAUAUUAUUAAUUAUAGCUCUUUAACAUUAAGAUUAUUAAAUAUAAAAUUUGUAUAAAGCUUCUUAAUUGUAAGAUAAUUAUCAAUUAAAGAGAACCUAAAAAAUAGGCUUUCGUCUUAUAAGUAAUUUAAGAGUAUACUAAGGAACUAAAAAAUAUGAGUUUUCUUAAUAUAUCGGGUCUAGAUGAUCACAAUGAGGCCAUCCCUAACAUAUGGAGCCUUAGGCGAUCACUUAUUUCAUAAAUACUUAUUGUCACACUUAAGCCCUUGAAUUAAUGAUGUAAUAUGUAAUAGCGGCAAUCUUACUUCAAUUUGUAUGAAUAUAUGAGGCUGUGAUGUCAUGAUAAAAACAAGCAGGUUUUAUAAAUUUUGUGCGUUACUUUCAAUUUUUAACUUACCUGAGUUAAACCUAAACUUGGCCGACAGAAUAAGAUGGUUCCAAGAUUUUUCCAUCAGAAAAGGGAAGAGGAGGGGGAAAAAACAGGGAUAGAAAAACAACAAAUGAACAUGGGGUUGUCCGUUAGGGUGGGCAAAUUCGGAUACGGAUCGGAUUCGAAUUGUUCGGUUUGGUAAAAAAUUCAUCUGAUUGUAAUCCGAAUUCAAAACGGAUCCGAAUCCGAUAUGAACAUAUUCGGAUAUGUUCGAAUCAGAUUUGGAUUGAAUGAAUAAUUCGGAUUAAUUCUUCGGAUCAGUAAUACCAUAAUGAAAUUGGAUUCAGAUGAUCUAAAAUAAAUCAGAUGAAUUCAGAUCGUUUUUGAGUUGCAAUACAAAAUUGAAAUCACAAAAUAAGAAAAAUGCAGCAAACUAGCAAAUGGAGGAAAUAAGAAAGAAUGCAGCAAACUAGCAAAUGGAGAAAGACAGACAAAACUUGAAAGUCAAGAGACCCAAAUCUCUGUAACUUUUUGAAAGUCAAAGUAUCUAUUCUUAUUCCUCUACAACUCACAAGCUUUGAUGGAUCCGACUCCAUUGGAAACCCUUGCAAUAAAGAAAUAAAUGCAGCGGCUGGCUUUGGGACUUCAACUUUUGCUUGCGGCUUCAGCUGGAAGCGUAGCAACGUCUCUGAUUCUUUGGCUGGGUUUGUGCGGCUGCAGACUACAAAUGCUUCUUUGAUUCUUUGGAUGGGUUUGUGCAGCUGCAACCUGCAAGUGCUUCUUCCAUUCUUUGGCUGGUUUUGUGCGACUGCAAGGGCUUCUUCGAUUCUUUCUAGUUUGGGAUUUUAAGGAUUUAGUUUGGGGCUGCCGUUCAACUAUUUUUUUUAUUUAUAAUUCAAUUAUUUAGUUUUUCUAAUUGCAAAGCGCAAUCCGAUCGGAUUGAUCCGGGUCCGAACCAAUCCGAAUCAAAUCCGAUCGGAUUGCAAAGUUUUUAUCCGAUCGGAUUUGGAGGUUAAUCCGAAUCCGAUGCCACCCCUUUGGCAGCCAAAAGUCCUUAGGUUGCCAUGAUAGAUUAUAUUGCGCAAAGCUACAGGCCUGCCGUUUGUCGAACCAUUUGAGAAAGAUCUAUGCCAUACGUAGCCGAGUAUUCACAAGUUUCUUCCGUUGAGCAGGAAGUUCUCUCAUAAGCAGUGCAUUGCCUUGAGUCACAAGAAAGAUCUUUGUAAGUUGAGGACUGUUCAGGAUCAAAGAACAGAGCUGCUUGCUUGUAACACUCAGUGAAGGCUUGCACUGAGUCCAUAUAAGAUCACUUCCAGUAUCAGCAAUGGCUAAAAUCUCAACAGGCGGAAUUCCUAUUGAUAUAUUCAUCAUAUACUCGCCAAGGGAUGAGAUUAUGUCAGCUUGGGCAGUGCUUGCUGUGAUAAUAACUGGAUCAAAAUGACUGACACGAUUAACAGACCGUUUCAAGGCCUUUGUGACUCGUUGGUGGUGAGUUUCAUCAGGAUUGUAAAAGGGAGAUUUAGGCGAGUCACGACUGAUUAGAUCAAGGCUAAAGCCUCCCUUAGAAUCUGUUAUGGAGACAGUAGACAGACAAAGAAUUAAGAAUGAAAUUGCUAAAGCAUUAACAGUUGCCAUGACUAAUUAUAAGAUGUUAAUUUGUAACUAAAAAGAGUACUUUUUUGGGUGUUUAUAUAGGAGGAAAUGGAGUUAAAGAUGAAUUAGAAAUAAGAAAUUGAGAAAGGGAAAAUAAGGAAGGUUCAACGUAUAUAAUCUAGUUUCCUUAUAUACAAUGAUUUUCUUAAAAAUUAACAACUCAUGAUUUCCAUUAUUGCAUGGAUUUUGUAGCAUUUGUUGGCUGUAUAAUCUUCAAGUGAAUCAUGAAAGAAUGUAAUUUAGAGAUGCACGAAAAAAUAUUAACGUUGCAAUUUUCAAAGGUCAAAGGCCGGAUACAAAUACAAUUUACACACAUCUUUUCAUUUCUUUGUACGGAACUAAUUAAAACAAUCUGAUCGUCAUAAUUAUUAAUAAGGGACCAAAUACAUUCCGUAUUAUUAUUAAAUCAUGUUUUUAGCAAAAUUUUUAAACAAGUACAUGUCUUCGACUCAAAUGCUGAAAAUGUUGUUUGCAAAAAAUAAUGGAAAGCAUAGAUCGUUGCAAGUUGGGAACAUUAAAUUCGCAAUCUUUAAUUAAUAGUAUAAGGUAAUGGUAAUAUCAAAGAUGAUGUGGGAUGGUUGUGUAUUUCGAGUGAAGUAUCUUUCGGAGGGCACAACUUAGGCUAUAGGUGUCCGUUUUUAGCGUAUAAUAUACUAUUUCGAAGUUUGGCUUUCUAUCCCGUGGAGAAGCUAGAAAUUCUGAUUCUUUCCUAGUCAUUUUUCAGUUUUAAAGAAUUUUCUUUUUUUUUAAUUCUUUUUAGGAUUUUAUCUUUUUCUUUUUCUAAAUAUCGGAUUUUAACACCGUUUGUUUUGCUUUUCUUAGUUCAAUUAUGAGAAUUUUAUUAUAAAAUAAUAUUUUGAAUUUAUCUAUUUUAUUAAAUUAUCGAUAUUUAGGGUUAUAUAUAUAUAAAGGGGUCCAAAAUCCUAAUUUUUUAAAUUCAGGCUUACUCAAUCAAACUUUGUUAUUCAAAAAUUUGUGUUUCGUCUAUCUUUCAGCCCUUUACGUUUCCGUUUCAUCAAAAGGUUUCUUGAGAGUAUGGGGAUUUUGAUUGUUUUAGUUAUUAUUUAGUUAUUUUUUCCUUAAAUUCAUGCUGGUAAUGCCCAGGAAUAUGUCCAGAGAAAUCAAUCAAGAAAUUCUUUAACAUAAGUAUGAGGUGAGUUUCUAACUGUAGUAAAUACUCGCUAACGAAUAUUAUUUUGUAUUUGGAAAUGUACAUAUUUAGAAUCCGUUUAUUGUCACGAUAUAUAUAUGAACGAAGAGCACCUGCAUCAAUUUUCAUAAGUGUUUGUAAGGAGGAAAAAAAAAUGUCCAAUUGUUUAAGUGGCUGUGUAUUGUGUAGGUGUAAUAAGCUUUAUAUUUAGAGAAUAUAAGAGUUUAAUAUUAUUUAUAUUUCUUUUAUGAUGAGCUCUAUUUGAACCCAUCAUAAUACUCAAUAGAUCUAUUAUUAAAAUUUGAAAUUUCAUCUUUUACUAUAUACUCAAUAUAUCCUUAUCAUCUUUAUAAUUAUUAGCGGAUUCUAGCUCUAAUAUUUAUUUUGUCUUAAUCAUGGUUUUAUUACCAAAUCCUUCAUUAUUGGCUUGUUCCAGUUUUGUUUUUUUGUUUUUUCCUUAAAUGAAAAUCUAUCUCAUUUGAAACUCCAUUAAUUUCUUUUUUAACGCCAAGUGUAUUGUUGUUUAAUUUAUAUCAAUGACAAUAAAGUAUUAUAAAUCUUACUACAAAUCAAAUUCAAAACAAAUUUGCAAUCUUUUGAUCUUUAUAGGAGAUCAUUUUCAAAUUCACUUCUUUUUUAGUGGAAACCUAAUUGUUAAAGUUUCAUAUAGUGCAUUGCAUCAUACAUAAUGUAUGCAAUAAAAACUAAGAAACAAAGCUAAUUAAUUGAAAGGAAGCCUAGAUUAAGAGAAGUUUUACAAAAUAUAAGAAUAAAUAUUAAAGAUUAAAAAUCCAUCAUCUGGUUGAAAAACAAUUGCAGAAAGAUUAAAAAUCCGUCAUCAGGUUGAAAAACAAUUGUAGAGAGGGAAAACAGAGACAAAAGGUUGUAAAACACGUUAAAGAGACAAAAGGAUAUAUAUGUAACAAAAAUAUCUAUUAAAAUUAGGUUCAGGGAGUAUUUGGAUGGAUUUUCUUUCUUUUGAUGUAACUGUGACCAAAAAGGGGUUUUAUUUGCAUUGUAAGUGGAGGUGUUAAUAGCAGCACUAUUUUUAUAUUUGACAACAGAAUACACAUUAACACUAUAUAUAGUGGAACCUCGAUAAAUUAAUAACAUUGAUUAAAUAAUAGUUUUCGCCAACUCAGACGUGGGCCCAACUUAGUAAAUUAAUAAUUCAAUAAAUUUAUUAAACAAUAAUUGUUGUAGAAAAGUAAGAAAUCUUAUUUUUCUAUAGGACUCAACUAAACAUAAAUUAAUAAUUAACCAAUUUAGAAUUAAACACAUAUGAUAUGUUUAAGAUUUUCUUUGUUGUACUAGCAUAAUGAUUUAUGCAUUCCAUUGGUUAUUGUUAUUUCUCUACAACUUUUAGAAGAGAAGCCAGUGUUGUAUUCUAUGUGAUAGGUUAAGAGAAACAAGAGAAAAAUUGACUUAAUAUAUUGUCUCAAAAAAGUCUUCUUUGAUGUGUUAUCAUCUAAUUGUGAUGCAACCAUGCAAUCUAGCAAAAGAAUUAUCAAGUCAUUGAUUUACUCAAUUAAAAUCAAACUAGAAUCAUAUUAUACAGCUUGAUAGAAUCUCUAUAUUCUUUAAUUACACUACAACAAAAACAGUGUAUGAUAGCAUCUGAAAAAUGCUACCAAAUUAAAGUGAAUGGUAGCAUUUUGAACAAUGCUAAGUUAGCCGGUGUAACUAAAAGUAUUACACAUUAGUAGCAUUUUUUACAUGCCACAAAUUAUGAUACAUAGCAUUGAAUUAGUGCAAUGCAAUUAGCUUUUGUCGCUUUAGGUGAAUGCUAUCAUUGUUCAAAGAGAGCAUUUAGAAAACGCUACCAAAUCGUGUACAGUUCCCUUGCAAUUGUCUAACAUAACUUUUAUUAAAUGCUACAAAAACAUUAACAUCAUGCUAUCAUAGCAUUUCAAUGCCCUUCAUUCAAUUCAUUAAUUCAAUAAAUAAUUUUAGUCAUUCUAUUGAUGAAAAAGAAAUUAUUCUUCAUUCAAUUCAUUAAUUCAAUACAUCAUUUUAGUCAUUCUAUUGAUGAAAAAAAAAUUAUACAUUGUUCGUUGAUAAAAUAAAAAUACUUAAACAUCCAUAAUCAUAUAUCAUACUUCUAUACUUUCUAGUGACCUUUAAAAAAGUAUUAAAUAUUAUCUUCAAUUUGUUUAUUCUUCAUUCAAUUCAUUAAUUCAAUACAUCAUUUUAGUCAUUCUAUUGAUGAAAAAAAAAUUAUACAUUGUUCGUUGAUAAAAUAAAAAUACUUAAACAUCCAUAAUCAUAUAUCAUACUUCUAUACUUUCUAGUGACCUUUAAAAAAGUAUUAAAUAUUAUCUUCAAUUUGUUCUCACUCUUCAAUACAUUUUUGCAGAAUAUCCUUGAUCACCUGCAUUAUGAAUUUAAAAAUAAAUAAGAAUUUUAUUCUGUUAAUAAAAAAGAAACAAAAUAAUGCUUUCUUAACAAACUUUUCCCAUAUAAGUAAAUUAGAAAAAUUAAGGUGUACUUAACUUCAAAUCACGCUUACAUUCAUCCAAACCAUUCAACAGUGACAUGCAAUCCAUAAAUGCAAGGUCAUUAAGGAUAUAAUAAGUAUAUGGCAAAAGGAUAAAAAUAGCAAUACCUAAUACGAAAUGAAAAUCAAAUGUUGCAAUAAAUCAACUCAAACAUCAAUAAAGAAAUUCUAUAACUAUAUUUUGUAAUUCGCAUGGAAGCCAUUUUAUUUUUCUUCACAUUCCAUCUACUCAAUUAAUCUUCUGCAGGAGUUUGUACCUAAGUUAGACAUCAAUUUAAGAAUAUGAACGAACUACACAAAUGCAAGGAGCAAUUAUGAUAACUUAUUCAUGCCUUUGUACCAAUUAAAUAUCGCCUUCUACAACAAAUUUUUCUUUUUUUUUUAGUACUAGUGCAUUCAAUUUAACCUAAAAGAAUUAUGUAUUGAUGCUAAUCAUAUAAACAAAACACGAGGCUAUCACGAAUUUUGAGAGACUUUUGAGAACUUUCAGCAUUUAGUCCUUUUGUAUGGGCACAAUCUAAAUAAUCAAGCAAUAUGGGCUUAUUGAUAACCUUGUUUGUGUCUAAUGACCAAUUUAAUAAGUCAAAUUCAAGUUUUCUAGCUUAACAAAUAAAACCAAAAAACUACCAAGAACAAAAAAAUUUAGAUUAAUUUAAAUCUUCAUUUAAACAAAGCAAAAAGAAAACCACGAGCAUGAGACUAAAUUCAGCAAGAUAAAUCUUCACUUAUGGAUCGCACUUAAGCAUCAAUUGGUUGGAAAAAUGCAACAAUAACCAUUACCCUAACCAGACAGAGGGAUUGAUAUUAGUAUAUAAGAAAUAAAAUCAACUCAAUAAGAGAAGUGACAAAACAACAGAAUCAACAGUACAGCCAACAAAAACAACAAAACUGAAAUUAGUAAAGGAAAGUCCACAAAUAAUGAGACAUCAUAAAGAUCUACCUCAACUGAAGUCUUCCCUCCUUUAAAAUGCCAAUGCAACCCAUAUAUGUUGUAGCUCAAGAGAAAAUUCUGGCUGUUAAGAAUCUGCAAGUUCUAAUUAAAUCAGUACAUAUUCUCAAACUUAGAAACUGCACAGCAGUUGCAGUGCCAAGUUUGUAGACACUACACAUCAAUCAACUCAUUUCUCUCUUUCACAACAUCACAAUAUUGAUGCAAAACUUUAGCUAUAUGCAUUGUCUAGUUGGAAACCGACAGAAUGAUUCUCUUAUCACCCUCCCUAAAGAAAUACUAAAAUGAAAGGUCUAAAUUUUAAUCUCUAUUGCUUUUCCCUUUUUGCAUCAUCAGGCAAUUAUAUAACAAGUUUGCAAUUUAUAUGGAUGAUGACGAUGAUUAUCAUCAUCCUCAAUAGUCAUAAUAAUAAUAAUAAUUUAGUGAGUACAUCGAGUCCCAGAUACGUUAAACAGCGUUGAGUUCACGACUUAAAAUCAUUAAGAAAUCAUGGGACUUUAAAAGGAUCUACAUCAUAACCCAAUUUGUUGAAAUAUAGCACAAAAAUUUCACACUUAGGCAAGGAAAAAAAAAAGGUAUUAAAAAAAAUAUGGAAAGAAAUCUUUCCGAUGAUUACAGACUACUACAAGCUGUAAACAUUAACAGCAAGAAACAACUAAAAGGUGGUUUCAAGCAAGAUGAGGCAGGGACAGACAAUUAAUUAAAGACCAAAAGCAUGAACGUAGAUUAAAUUCUAAUAGAUGUCCAUAUACCCAAAUUUAUAAGAUACAAUUUUCAGAUCCACCUCAGUAUUUGCUAACUAAAAAGAAAUAAUUAAGAUGAAAAAACCUAUUAUGUGAAUGAUAUACAAAAUUUCGGAUUGUUAAGGCACAAAUGAGAAUUUUCAUGGUCUUUGAUAUAUUACUUCUAAAUGUAAGAAAAAUAAAUGAACCAAACAUACAAGAAAUUGCUCCAAAUAAAAUGGAAUCAACAUAAGAAAUCCUAUAUUGACAAUUGAAAACCCUAAAUUCGGUAAAUUAAAUUAAAAAAAUUAAAGCUUACAUGUAAAUAUUCAUGAUAAAGAUUUGAGGGAAGACCCAACAACAACAAGCCUUGAGACAAUAAAGAAUUAAGGAUCAGAACUUUUUGAUUUUGAGAGAUCGAAUUAUACUACCACACUUCAUAAAAGUCCCUAUUACGAACGUGAUAUUAUCUUUAUAAAUUAAUAAAUUAUUAAUUUAUCGAUAUACUAAUACUAGCUAAAUUAAUAGAUUUUUCAUGGUCCCGAGGUUAUAAAUUAUCGAGGUUUUAUUGUAUAUGGUGUUACAAUUAAUUAAAAAACUACAUUAAUACCAUAUAAUUUUAUAGUUGUUUCUAUAACGAUUAGAUAAAUAUCAUUUUUCAAUGCUUUAUAUAAAGAAAUUAUGGGGAUUUAAUUAGAUUUAUAUUUCUUCUAAUAUGAUGGAAACAAGACACAGGGUUUUAUUUGGACUAUAGUGGCGUGUUUUAGCGGCGUUCUUUUCAUAUUUAGCAAAGCAAUUAACUGAGGAGUUGGACUAUUGGUUAUGACCAAUGUUUUAUGAUCUCGGCCCACACAAUAACAAUAAGAUGGUUUAAAGAAUUUUUCCUUCUUUGAGGUUAAAGAAAAGCAAAGGGAGAUAAAAAUUAGGGGGACCGAAAACCAGCAGAGUCAAAUGCACAUGGUCUUCGGAUCGUCGUAUGGAAGCAUAAAAGGUCUUAAGUUCCCAUUGAGGGCAAAAUUAUUAUCGGUGACUGAAGACUUAAGAGUCAAGCACCACACGACAACCCAAAAGCUUUUAUAUAUAUUGAAAGAAUGGGCUAUGGGAAUUAUAGAAACUGAUCAGAAUAAUUAAAUCUUAAUUAUAUACUAUUGUUAGCUUAUACUUUAGUAAUUAAUACAAAAGAAAAUACAGUGAAGCAGUUAAUUAUGUCAAACUGUUAGAAAGUGUUGAGUGGAAUAUAUAUCGUAGCUGUUGGCGACUGAUAGAUGAUUGUUAAUUAAUAAUGGACCAGAUAUUGUGUUUUGUGUUGAUUUAGUGAUUGACGAUCUUUUGAGUGACACAGUGACACAAAUAACAUCAAAUAUCUUAAUUUAUGCCAUAUUGAUUCAAAACCAAACACAGUAAAACGAGCUAAUCGUUCGUAGGAUGAUACAAUCUUGCGAACUACAAAAUUAAAACCAAGCUUCACAGACUCGCCCACCCCAGUAAUNNNNNNNNNNNNNNNNNNNNNNGGCACCCCAGUAAUAUUGCAAACUACAUUUAUUUUUUCAGCUCCAGUUGCAUUAGAAUUUGAAAUCGGUCGGUCGGCCGAAGAAAGUGGCUUCAAAGUCACUCGACAAAACUCCAGUAGAGUGGAGACUAUCACUUAAGCUUCCCAAUUAAUUACUGCUUGGUGCAAUCUGUCGGUUUAAAUGACACAGUUUGUUGUUCUAUGUCAUAGCCGACCAAAAAGUUGGUCUGCAUUAUAUUACCAUAAAUUGGCACGCUAUUGGUACCUGUAAAAACAGAACACACAAUAUCCUCCGAGACCUUCACAAAAAAGUUGGAAGGACUCAAUUUCACAUCUGCACCUCUGAAAUGUAUUGUAACUUCAGGAACUUGAGAUAGUGAAUUAAAACUGUAGCAAAGUUCAAGUGAUCCUGUAGGGUCUGCAACAGGUUGUGCCUCAAUCAUACUAGACAUUACUGACAACAAGUUUGAGUUAUAACCUUGUGGUAAGAAGGUAAGUGUUGUACCAGAAUCGAUUACAAUGUCUGGAGUCGAUACUCCUAGUCUUUGGUUUCCUACACUGAUUGCAUCAAUUGUGAGAACAUAAAAGGUUUUGGCUUUAGUCAAGGGAGUAGAAACCACUCCUGGACCUGAAACAAUUCCAUUGGUGCCAAAAUUGAUUUUGGUUGAGCUUACUGGAACCAAACAAUAGGAGAAUUUACCAGCAAUUGUAGUUCGCAUUUGAGAAAUAAGUGAAAUAUCGCCGCCUCCAAGGCCAACAAUUCCGGUUGUUUUUGAAUUAAACAAGCCACCAUUGUUUGUUCCGCAACCAAAGGUUAUUCCAGGCAGAGCCACGGCCUGUCCUGUUGUUGAACCCAAAGUAACAGUUUCGGUAGCAAGAUUGCCAUUUGAGAAGGAUCCAUCUCCAUAAGAGACCGAGUAUUGACAAUUUACCCCAGAGCAAGAUUUUUGGUUAAGAGAUGCACAUUGGCUUGACGAGCAUGGAAGAGAUUUGUAAGUAGAUGACAUUUUAGGAUCAAAAAGUGGAGAGUCCUGCAUGUAACAUUGUGAUGGUGGGCAAGGCUCGCACUGCGUCCAUAUGAGGUCACUUCCUGUAUCAGCAACAGCUAGUCUUUCAGUAGGGGGAGUACCAAUUGAUAUACGUAUGAGAUAGUUCGCGUUAUUGGGUAUUAUAUCAGCUUGGGAAGCUUUUGAUGAAGAUAUUGAUGAGUUCUGAUUAAAGUGAUUGAGACGAUUGAGAGAACGAGUCAAAGCAUCUCUCAAUCGUUGGUAGGGAGUUUCACUGGAGUUGUAAAAGGGAGACUUGGGAGAGUCACGGUGGAUUAGCUCAACACUGAAACCUCCAGUUUGAGCUUCUAUAGGAGAGACGACAUAAAAACAAAGAAAGAAGAGAAUGAAUACACAACUCAAGAAGGUCGCCAUAAUCAAAGCUGUGAGUGAGAUAAUAAGAAAGUGGCAACGAGUCUAUGCUUAUAUAGAGGAGGACACGGAGAGAUAAUUUGAAAAAUUUAAUUAAUUUUCAAUAGAAGACCAAAAAUUAAAAAAAAAGGAAAGAAAAUGAGCUUCCAAGUUCCAAGAAAAUGUAACUUUCUCGCAUAGUAAGUGUUUGAGGAAUUAAGAGCAGAUCACCUCGACCAGGUACAAUGAGGUUGAGCAGAUCGCCUUGACCAGGUGGUGUGAGCUUGAGCAGAUGAGCAUGUGGUAUGAGCUUGAGCAAAUCACCUCGACCAAGUGCUAUGAGAUGGAGCAGAUCACCUCGACCAGGUGCUAUGAGGUGGAGCAGACCACCUCGAUCAGGUGCUAUGAGCUUGAGCAGAUCACCUCGACCAGGUGAUGACCAAGAAUAAAGACUCAAUUAAAAUAAACCACCACAAAGCUCCUCCGAAAAAACAGGGCACGAAUUUGAUCAAUUAAUGGUUAUUGUCACGAUCUAAGGUCGUGGGUGUGAGGUGUUUUAUAAAGACCCCGAGAAAACCACGCGGAAUGGGGGGGCCCUUUUUCUCUAGAUCUGAUGGAGAAAUCCUUUCUGGAUACUCUAUUUUACUUUUCUGCAAAUUAUUCAAAAAGCUUUUGGUUUUAAAGCAAUGUUUAUUAAGCCAUAUGAAAAAUGGCAUAUUUGGUUUUUCCUGUAAACCCCAUAACUGACUUGAGCGUUGGAGGGUUUACGCCGGAAAAACUUCUGGCACCUCUGACCAUUCUCUGUAAUUUCAGGUACUUAUUGAUCGUCAGUUUGAAGAUUAUAUGCUCAUGAAUGUUCUGCUCAUAGUCAGAGAAUAUUCUUAGAGAUCAACCAGCAGCUUCCCACCAAACAAAUUUAAUGCUGAUGCAGGGAUCUGAUAUUGAGUCUCUAACCAACUAGUUCAGAUUUCAGCAUCAACAGUAAGCUUUUGUUAGAGUGACAACCAUCUUAUGGGAGGGCCUAAGUUACGUUUAACGUAAUUUACGCCCUCUCACAGCAACAGUACUACUGAUUGGACCGGGUACUAUUGCUGUGAGAGGCGCAAGUUAUGUUAAAUAUAAGUUAGCGCCAGCCUUAUCUUAUUGUUGCAACUUGGGUGACAAUUUUUGAAUUUGCUUGGCUUAAAAAUACUUCUUCCAUGCGAACUUAGCCCAGAUGAAAGGGAAUCAAGCUUAGCUACAUGUCAAUGUAAUCGAGAUUGUUUAUUGGGGAAAUAUAAAUCAUAUAAGAAUUAUUGAGGACAGCUUAAAACUUUGAUCUUGUCUUCUAAUUUUUUGAUGCCUAGCUAUGAUGACAUCACAACAGGUGAAGUAAGCAUGCACUUAUACCACCUUUUACUCUUUACGAAGUCUUUCUGUUAUGCAAACGCUUUUGCUUUUUCUUAAGACUAAUUUCUUAAAUGUAUUUUGUUCAAUUUUUAGUAUAAAAAGACCAUAGUCAAUUAAUGCUUUUACAAUUGUUCAUCAUUUACUAAGUCUGUUGCCAAUAUAAAUUUAAUUUCAUGGUCUGAAUGGCUGUCUUGUCUUCAGCCUUUGAUGUGUGAGCUUGGCUCACACAAUGACACGCUUUCAAAGAAUUGUCCUGCUUUUUGAGCUUCAAAGAAAACAAAUUAGGGGUGCGAAAUUAACGGGAGGAACACAUUAUCGUAUCAAAAUAGUUCCAAUCAAAUGGGGUCGUAUGACAGUCGAAAAGUCUUUUAGUUCAUAUCGUGAUUCCAUGAGUUAUGGAUCAUUUAAGCAACUCAACACAGCCAUAAGACGCAAAAUUAUUGCUUUAGUAGUUGCUUGAAAGCGUGGUGGGAAACCCCAAUAUCAACGAGAGCAAGAUCAAAUCCCGGAGUAAAUAUGCAAACCCCAAAAAACAACGUUGCUGUUCCCACGAUAAAUUUUAAACCCUAAUUUCAAUGUAUGAAUCUCCAAGUUUUAUGGAAAUAACAUAAAGUACACAGACCCCAAAUACGCAUUGGAAAAACCCCAGAGUUAACGAAGAAACCCCUAGUUUCAAUGUACAAAUCUCCAAUUUUUAUAAGAAAUAACUCGGAGUACAAACCGUGAAUAUGUAUGGAAACAAACCCAGAGUUAAUUUUUGAGAGAGAUAAAUUAAAUAUAAAUAAGAUGAUGUGUGAAUUUUACUGAGAGAUUGAAAAUUUAAUUUUUAGGGAGAGAAUUUAUGUGUUCAAAGAGAUUAUGUGGAUGAAUAUCAACCAUUAGAUUGUAAGCAUUUAACAUCUCAUGGAAACUUUUUAAUUACCGGUUCCAAGUUACAAUAAUUAAAUUAAUCGUAACCGUUCAUGAAAUCUAAUGUUGGAGACAUAGGGAUGUACGGUCCGGGGGGACCAUAGCUUAGGCUCCUAAUUUGAAUGGUUUUCUCUUCUUUCAUGCUUAACAAUAAUAGUCAUCAUGAAACGAAAAUCCAUAGCGACCCUUAUUUUGUGAACUUCAGCUAGCUAACACAAUCACAUGCUUCAAAGAAUUUUCCGGUUCUUAAGCAUAAAAGAAAAAAAAAAAAAAAAAAAAGGGAAACGACAAUAAUAUUGGAGAACAUCACUAUCAUAUAAAUUAGUGCGAAACGGGGUCGUCUCACAUUCAAUUAUUCAAAAAGUCUUUUAGCUCACUGAUUGAGUUACGGUUGACGAAGACUUUAAAGAUAUUUUUAGUAUUGUGGUUUGUCCGUGUGUGGGCUGUCGUAGUUCACUACUAAAAUCUUAACAUUGUUAAAAAAUAAGAAAUUAUCAAUUUUUUUUUUAUUGUAAUCAAUAUAUACCAUUUACUCCUAUUAUUUUUAUAAUAGUUAAUAAUUUUUCUAAUAGUACAAUUUUAUAAUUUUACUCUUAUUUUAAAUAUACUUUUAUUCAUAUUUAUUGUAAAUUAAAUAAAUCAUAUGAAUGAAAAUUAAAAUAAAACAUUAAGUAUUAAAAACAAGAAAUCUAUAUUUUGAUGUGAACAAAAAAUUAAUAUAAAUUUUUUCUCAAACUCUUUUAUUUUAUAAUAUUUUCUUAUAAUCAAUAUGUAAGAAAAUUAUUAAAAAUGAUAAAAAUUAUUAUAAGAAAACUUAAAUGAUAAAUAAAAAAUAACAUAUUUUUCUUGUACUUUUUACAUUUAAUUUUAAAAUAUUGUAAAAUUUGUAUUAUAAGAAAACAUUUAUAAAAUAAAAAGAACAGAAAAUAUUUUAUUAUUAAUUUUUUAUUUGCAUCAAAACAUAGAUUUCUUGUUUUUAAUACUUAAUUUUUUAAUUUUAAUUUCCAGUCAUAAGAUAUUUAACUUAUGAAAUAAAAAGAACAGAAAAAUAUUUUAUUCGUAUCAAAACAUAUAUUUCUUGUCUUUAAUACUUAAUUUUUUUAUUUUAAUUUCCAUUCAUAAGAUAUUUAACUUAUAAUAAGUAUGAAUAAAAGUGUAUUUGAAAAUAAGGAUAAUAUUAUAAAAUUAUGCUUUCAAAGGGUGAUUGGAUAUUAUAAAAACAGUAGGGGGUAAAUGGUUUAUAUUGAUUAUAGUAGGGAAAAAUUGACAAUCUCCCUUAAAAAAUUGCUGAGUUCACAAGGGUAUUUGAGGAAUUUCAAGCAAAAAUUAUUUUCCUAUUUCCUAGUUCUUUUAAAGAUUUUUACUAUUUUUCUUUAGACUUCCGAUAUAAGAGCCAACUUUUUAUUUUCUUUAUUUAGUUAUUAGAAUUCUAUCAUAUUAAAAUAUCCCUCAAAUUGAAUAUUCUAGGUUUUCUGAUGGAUUGACGGUAAUUAAAAGUUUUUUAUGCAUCCAUAAACAAACUCAUUCGUGAUAUUAUUUUCACAUGCUGCAACUUUUUGAUUUUGGGUGACAACUCAAAUGUUGCUUUAUGUUAUAUUAUAUGUAACAUAGCACAAACCUUCAUUCAUAUGCAAGAGAAUUUGAAUCAUGCCAACAUUUAAUGUCCAUGGAAGAUUUCAAAUGAAGCUAACUAAAUUUCUAGCAAAAUGCACGCAAAUUGUUAGUUCUCUCUCUCUCUCUCCCCCUAACUUUUACUGCAAAUGAAUAUCUCAACCUGGAAUCCAACAAUAACAAAUCUUAUCAUUUUUGUAUUAUCGAAUGGUAAAUCCUAGCAAGCCCUUGCAGGGCUGCCUCCUUACUUUUUAUGAGGCCUCCUUACUUUCACCAGCCUCAACACUCAAAAGGAAUAUAUUGUUGGAUUAAUACAAAAAUGAGUUCAGAGUUUAAUUAAUUUUUAACUAUAUUUUAAAUAUCAAUAAUCAACAUGGCAUAAGAAAUUUUAAAAAAUAAAAGUAGUCAAUAAGGUAUCUUUUUUACUUCCUUUAGAAUUAUUAUUUCAAGAAACAAUAUUUUUUUUUUACUUCAAAAGUGAACCAAUAAAUAUAAUUUUCUUUAUAGAGAAGAGUGCAAGAAAUUUUUUAAUGUUAAAAAUUAAUUUUUUAAAAAUAGAUAAAUAAUUUAAUUUUUUCUUAGAAAAACUAAUAAUAAAUUAACGAUUAGACAAUAUUAUUAAUUAUAACUCUUUAACAUUAAUAUAGAAUUUGUAUAAAGCUUAUUAAUUAUAAGAUAGUUAUUAAUUAAAGAGAGCCUAAAAAAAGGUUUUAGUCUUAUAAGUAAUUUAAAAAAUCUAUUAAUAUGAGUAUACUAAGUAACUAAAAAAAAAGACUCUUAUUAAUAUAUGAGGUCUAGGUGAUCACAAUGGGACCUUCAUAACAUAUGCGGCCUUAGGCGACUGCCAACUUUGCUUAUACUUUAAGUCACCCUUAAGCCUUUGAAUUAAUGAUGUAAUAUAUAAUACCGGCGAUCUUAGUUCAAUUUGUAUGAAUAUAUGUGUAGCUAAGGGCUAUGAUGUCAUGAUGAAAACAAGCAGGUUUUAUAAAUUUUGCGCAUUACUUUCAGUUUUUAAGUUACCUAAAUUAAACCUAAGCCCCUUGCUAUAUGUUUUAUGAUCUUGGCCCACAGAAUAAGAUGGUUCCAAUAUUUUUCUAUCAGAAAAGGGAAGAGGAGGGGAAAAAACAGGGAUAGAAAAACAACAAAUGAACAUGGGUAGUCGUCGUGUGGCGGCCAAAAAGUCCUUAAGUUGCCAUUGAUAAUGAGGUUAUAUAUCGGUCGACUGAAGGCUUGAGUCAAGAACCACAAGACAACACAAAGGCUAAGACAAAACAAAUGCUGCUGAAAAACAAGUUGAAUGAAUGCGCAUUGGAAACUAAAAGGAAAUUUUACUUAAGAUGUAUUUGCUAGUAGCAUUGUUGUUUAAAAAAAUAAAAAGAAAAUGUGUCAUACUAAAAUAACCUUAAAAGAAAUUAAAUAAAAUGUCACAUUCGUAUAAACAACUUAGAAACGUCAUAGAUUGUUGAACAAAAUGAUGAAAUAUUUGUGUUAAUUUCAUCAUGCUUGAAAAUAAAUGAAUAAAUAAAUAAAAUAAAAAAUAAAAAAUCAUAGGAAAACAUGAUUUGCUGUGUGUUGCAAAAAUUAUUGUGAGAUUUGUACUGGAAAAGUUUUGGGUGGGCGCUCCCAAUGUAUGCUCUAUCAUCCAUUCCAUUUUUGUCAAGCAUGUAUUUAUACUUACAAAUUAGUUAAGAGAUUUACGUAGCAAUAUUCCAUAGCCAAUACUUCAGCUAAAUAUGCAGUGAGGGAAAUUUCUGUCAACAGUUAAAAAGUCCUGAGUGGAAGUUUCGUUUUGACGCAGCCCUGCUUAUAGCAAAGCUUUUUCUUCGAGAUUAAUCAGCGGUUGACGAUCGACGUCUGAGAUAAUUGUAAUGGACCUGGUUGUGUUUUAGUUAAUUUUGUGACUGAUGAGCUAGAUAUUUGUGCUUGAGGAUAUUGACCUUUUGAGCAAUAUUGACCUAAGAUUGUUGUGGAUCUAAUCGUAUUUGAGUUAAUUUUAUGCGAAGAAAAAUGCUGUUUCCUUCGAAAAAUAUUGAUUUUUUCCACAGCAUGAAGCCCGACAACAGCCCAGCUAAAACGACCAAAAUAGCAUUAUUGUUCAACUGAUGACAAUUAUCUCAUUGUUGCGACUUGGGUGGAAAUUUUUAAAAUUUGUUUGGCUUAAAAAUCUGUCUAUUAUUUGAAUGCGAUAGAGAUCUUUUUGGGGAAAUAUAAAUUAAAUUCACCAAAAAACUUUUCUAAUGAGAUUUCACUUCUUAUUUGAAGAGUUACAUCAACAAAAGGAUUUUUAAGAGAUUCAAAUGAGAGAGUCUUCUCUUUCUAUAAUAUUGAAGAGUGAUUUCACCCUCUUUAAAUAAUAUUAUAUUAUUUUUUUGUAUCAUUAUUAUUGAAAAUAUAUAAUGAGAAAAAUUCAAUUAAAAUAAUUUAAACUUAUUUAUAUUUAAGAAGACUUUUAUAAGAGAAUUUUUUGUUACUUUGUUAUCUAUCACAUAAAUAAAUAAAUAUUUAAAAAAUAAAAUUAGAUAAUCUUUUUUGUGAUGCUCAAGAUGGUGCCUACAACUAUGCAUGGAAUAGCUAUCAAGGAUUGCAUAAGGCAGUGGCUAAGUUAGAUCAACUCCAUGGUGGAACACUAAUAAGAACCAUUAAAUCGUAUUAGUAAGUGUAGAUUUAGUAUUUAUUUCUAUAAUCAGUCAUCAUCAGUGCUCCAUUAUGGAGCUGAUCCAACGUAGCCGAACUUAACUUUUAUCUUAUAGUUAUUGGAUGCGUUUGAUGACAUCACAAUAGGUGAAGUAAGCAUGCAAUUUAUUUAUUUUCGAACGAAAGCAUACAUUUUACCAUUUUCCAUGCUUAGUUUGUUUAUAUCACAUUUUCCUCUUUACGACGUCUUUCCUGUACGCAGACGCUUUGGCUCUUGGGUAGAUGUUUCUACAUCCAUGCAGUUAAUUUUAAAAGGUCAGUACAUCUCCAUAAACUGUAAAAUGCCUCAGCACAUUUCUUUCUCUCAAUUUUUUUGCUCCUUUGAUAGCUUUUCCUAAUAAAUUUAGACAAUUCAAAUAAAUGAUAUAAUUCAUGCAGUUAAUUUUAAAAGGUCAUUACAUCUCCAUAAAUUGUAAAAUGCCUCAGCACAUUUUUUUCUCUCAAUUUUUUUGCUCCUUUGUUAGUUUUACUCCUAAUAAAUUUAGACAAUUCAAAUAAAUGAUAUAAUUCAUUGUGAAUUGUUUAAAUAAGGAAUAAUUAAUAAUAAAAAAGUACUUUACACUUUAAUUUUAUUUAAUUAUUUCAACUAUAUUUACUAUAAAUUUUAAAGUCAAAUUUUGGUUAAUGGAUUUUAGUAUUAAUAAAAUCAUCCGACAUAUUAAUAAUAGUUUAAUAUUUUAUAUUUAUAUUUCUAUUAAUAUUGUAUUUUUAUUUAGUAUAAUAGUUUUGACUAUAGUCUAAGUGUAUCUUAGCUUUAUUUGGACAGCCACGGUCCAGCAUGAGGUAGGUAAGGGUUGAAAAAUUGAUUUAAACUUUGCACACUUUCCUACCUUUUAAAGAAAAAAUUAUAUAAAAAAAGGGGUAUCAUAGUAAAAAAAAAAAAGUGUCUAUUUGACCAUUUAUGACAUUAAAGAGUUUUACGUGUGAUAAUUUAAGCAAACUUUGGGUGUCAAUUAAUGUCUUUUCCAAUAAAAUAAAUAAAUAAACAAACAAUGGCUUAUCAUAAUGAAAAUUAAUUUAUACAUAAAAGAUAUUAUCUAAUUCACUAAUUUUAUAUUUUGUAGUAUAUGUGAUAAAAAAUUAAAUAAUUUUAAAUAAAAAUGAAAAUUAUAUCCAUACACAACAUAUAAGUAUACGUUAAUGAUGAUGUUUUUUUGGUUGAUAUAAGUUUUAUAUUAUUUGUUAGACCAAAUUAUGAAAGGUCCAAAAAACUUGCAAAAAAUUAGAGGCCCAAUAAAAAUAUUUUACAUAAAAUAACCCAAGCCCAUUCUCUAUAAAGACGGCCAAGGUAGGACGACCAAGGUACUUACAAUUCUAAUUAAAGUAUCUAAAUACAAGAUAUGACAAAACACCAAAAGCAUGAUUCAUUAAAGAAUGACCUAGGUCAUUUCUUUACAAAGAAUGACCUAAAUAUAUUCUUUACAAAGAACGACCUCCGUCCUAUACUUACAAAGAAUGACCUAAGUUUAUUUUUUACAAAGAACAAUCUAGAUCCAUUCCUUAUAAAGAAUGGCUUAGGAACUUAGAAAAUAGUUCUAAAUAAAACGCCCAAAGGGCUAGUUUUCGACAAAGUACUAAAGGCAUGACUUAACAAAGAGUGAUCGAGGUUCGUUCUUUGUAAAGAAUGACCUAGGUCCAUUCUUUACAAAGAACAACCCAGGUCCAUUCUUUACAAAAAAAUGACCUAGGUCCACUCCUUAUAAAGAAUGACUUCGACACUUAGAAAAUAUUUCUAAGUAAGAGCACACGAGCUACUAAGCAUUCUAUGGAAUGCACCUAUGGGCAUAUAUAUAUUCUAUGAAUGCGCCUAUGGGCAAAUAUACAUUCUACGGAAUGGGCCUAUGGACAAAUACACAUUCUAUGAAAUGGACCUACUGCAAAUAAACAUUCUAUAGAAUAGGCCUCCAGGCAAAUACACAUUCUACGUAAUGUGCCUAUGGGUAAAUAAACAUUCUACGAAAUAUACAUACGAACAAAUACAUUCUACGGAAUGCGCCUAUAAGUAAAAAUACAUCUUACGAAAAUGCGCCUACGAGCAAAUAUAUGUAUUCUACGGAAUGCGCCGACGGGCCAAUAAGCAUUCUACGGAAUAAGCCUACGGGCUAACAAACAUUCUUCAGAAUGCACUUACGAAUAAAAUAUUGCAAAAUCAAUCCUCUUUGUAAGAAACCAAUAUAAGUGUUGAAUUUAAGCUUAAGUCCAUUAAAGGUUAAGGGCCCAAAAACAUAACAAAUGUCCAAAGAUUACCUGUCAUGAACAAGUAUUGACACAUGAAUAUGUGUCUCCAUGCAUGGGUUUUGGCUGACAUUUGUCACAAGAAAAGUGUCAUAUAACCUCUCCAAUUGACUCUAAGUUGCCUAUAUAAAGGCUAAGACCCCUCAUUUGAAGGUAAGAGAAAAAAGAGCAUAAAAUGAGUACAAAAACCCUGCUUAUCUCACUCUAGAUUUUCUCCCUCUAAAAGUUGAGUAAAAAGAACUGAUUUAAGCGUUAGAGGGUUAUCGCCGGCACGCUGCCCCCCCUUUGACAAUUAUUUCUUUUUUGCUAGAUAAUUUACCACAAGGAGACACGUAAUUUAAGACACUUGCUUCAAGGAGAAAAUAAGUAAUAAAACCUAAUUUAGAAAAAAGUCAUAACACAAAUCAAUCAUUGUAAAUUGAGCAAAAAUUUGCAUCAACAUUAUUAAAUUUGUAAACAAAGAUUAGUAUGCAAUAUAUUUGUCUUCUAUUUUAUAAGCUUAACGAUAAUAAUCUCAUCAAACGAAAUUCCCUAAUGACCCUUGAGGUGUGAACUUUAUAGCUCACGCAAUACCAUGCUUUGAAAUAAUUUUCCAUCUGUUGAGCUUAAAAGAAAACAAAAGAAGGCGGCAAUAAUGGGAGAAAAAUCAUAAUCAUCUUUUUUUUUUUAAAGGUAAGAGGGUAAAGGGCAUGAAUCAUAUAAAAUAGUACAAAUCAAAAGAGGUCCUACAACUCAAAUAAGCACCACAAGACAACCCUAAUUAAGACAAGUUGCUUGAAAGCGUACAAAUUAAAUGAGUUCGUAUAACAACUCAAUUAAUCACCACAGAACAAUCCUAAGACAAGUUGCAUGAAAACAUACGUACUACGUAAUUUUCUCUUACAUGAGUUUUCUCUCAUGUAAGCGGAAUUUGAACCCAUAAUUUAUUGUUUCCACACAAUAGAUUUAAUCAUAUAAAUUAAUUGACGCCUAUUAAAAAAAUAUGAUUCUUGUGAAAACAAUUAUUAUAUGUUUAAAAAGUUCAAAAUUUUGACUUUUUUGUUCAUACACUUGGAGCAAUAGUUUCCAGAGUUCAAUUAAAUAUAAAUGCAUUUAAAAACAAACAAAUUCUUAAUCACUAAUUAAAUUUUAUUCCAUCUCCUGUUAUAACUGAAAUUAAAUUUUAUUCCAUCUCCUGUUAUAAACAAACAAAUUCUUAAUCACUAAUUUGGACCAUCAUCUAUUGCGAUGAUGUAGUACUGUUAUCUAUAUUAUCUAAUUGUUAAUUUUAUUUGUGGGUGUCAUUAUUAAUGGAGUUACUAAAAUCUCUUAUGUUGAAAAUAAAAAGUUUCAAAUCCACUUACAAGGGUGGGAGCGUAUUGUAUUACCGUUAAUUAAGCCAAAUGAAAAAAAUACUAAUAUUAUAUCUAAAUUUGUAGCUGUGAACAUAAAAUAGGCAAACAGUGUUAAUAAAUAUUAUUGUACGUUAAUGAUGUGUUAAAAAAUAUUAUAUGUUAAUGAUGAUUUUACUUGAGUUACUUUAAGUUUUAUAUUAGGGUAAAAGAACAUUUAGUCCUUGUAUUUUUAAAAAUAGCUUGAAACAUCCAUGUCGUUAAAAUAUUGAUACUUCUACCGUUACUUAUUAUUUUUUUUGGCUUACUUUUAUAAUAUUACCAUUUUAUAAUAAUUUUUUUAGACAUUAAUAAAAAGAAAAUAAUUAAAUUACCAACUUAACCCUAAAAAAUAAAAAAAAAUUAUAUUAAUUUUUAAUUUUCAAAAAUUGUAUGCAAACUACCAAGUGUGCAAAUGGUGCUUGCAAAAAAAUUAAUAUAAUUUUUUUAUUUUCUAGGGUUAAAUUGGUAAUUUAAUUAUUUUCUUUUUAUUAAUGUCCAAACAAAAAAAUUAUUAUAAAAGGGUAAUAUUAUAAAAGUAAGCCAAAAGAAAUAAAAAGUAACAGUAGGGGUAUCAAUACUUUAACAACAGAAAUAUUUCGAGGUAUUUUUUAAAAUACAGGGACUAAAUGGACACUAAUCUUAAAAUACAUGGACUAAAUGAGCUUUUACCCUUUAUAUUAUUAAAAUUUGUAAACGAAGGUUAGUAAACUAUACUAACUAUUACGAAUGAUUUCUAGUCUUCUUUUAUGCUUAACAAUAGUCAUCAUCAAACGAAAUUCCCUAAAGAGCCCUCACGUGUGGACAAAAGUUCACCAAUCACAAGCUUUUCCAAGAAUUUUCUGGCUUUUGAGCUUAAAAGAAAACGAAAGGGAGGCGAAAUAAUUGAAGAAACAUCUUUAUCAUACAACAGAAGUCUUUUAGGUCAUAUUGGGAUUAUGUGGCUGAUGAUCGAAGACUUCAAGUCAAUUAGCACCACAACAAAGCCCUCAAGAGGCAACAAAAAUAAUACAGUUGGAUGAAAGCUGUGGUUGACGAAGACUUUGAGGCCUUCUCGGCCAAAUAUUUGGUAAAUACUUAUUAUUAUAGUUGGGAAUAAAUAAUAAGUUGAUUUUUUCUCACAUUUAUACAAUGAAAACCUAUAACAUAUUUACUGUUUUUAUUAAAAUUAUUUUUUAAAAGUCCUAAUUAAAUGCACUAUCAAUUUUUAUUUCUUAACUAUAAUUUUUUUCUACAACACCUGAAAAAGCACAAUACCUCAAUACCACACAAGAACUAAGUUAAUUAGCACCUAAGAUAACCUUAAGGCACAAUAUAUCUCAAUACAUUUAUUUCUUUAUUAUGUUUUAUUUAGAUCUUUGUACCAGUCAAUGUGAAAAUGAACUAUGAAAGAUAGUUCAUUUACAACAAAAUUGCAAAUCAAUCACUUGAUGCAUUACUAAAUGCAGAAAACGUAACCAAGUUACAUAUUAGAGAUGUUAUUACAUUAACUAAGAUGAUUGUUCCUAUCGAAUAAUCAAGUGUAAAGAUAGAUAAUGAAACGUCUGCUACAUGUCAAAAGUGUGGCAAAUCACUUGUUUCUAAAAAUACAAUUCCUCAAAAGAAGAUUCUGUUGCAAAUAAUGCUCGAGCAAUUAAAAUUCCCAUUAAUCACUGGUUCCAAAUGAACUAAUGGUCAUAGUAAAGACGUCUCUAAAGAGACAUGUCCUAUAUGAACAUGUCCUAGAAGAGACAAAGUCUCCAGAGAGAUAGAAGUUUCUAAAGAAAAAAAAGUCUCCAAAGAAAUAUGUGUCUCUUAAGUGAUACUGUUGGGGCAAGAAAACCUUUGGUGAAAACCAUCAAUUAUAACACAUGAACAUUUAUGUUGUAUCACCAAGAAUUAAUAAUAAAAUUAUGCUUAAGUGUACAUGAAUCCAUAACGCUUAAUUCCUCUAUAGGGUUGUGUGGUUGGCCUUCCAGAUCUAUAUGUUCUCUUAGAGAAUCCUUUAAGUUUUUCUCAGGGUCUCUCUCUGACAAUGAGAUUUCAGAAAGAAUAAAAAGAUAUGUGUGACAUGGGGACCAGCCACUUAUAUAGACAACAUUUUCCUAUUGUCACUGGGUAUUUUUAAUUCUGCCCGUCAUAGAAUUAUAAUAUUAUUGAGUCUCUACGCAUUAAAAGCUAACACCUUAUUAGAUACAUUAAAGCUCAUAAUACUGAAAACCUAAAUAGAUCACUUUUAAUUGAGCUUAACCUUAUAUGACAGUCCACAACACAUAAUUAUUCACAAAUAAGCUCAACAUUGGAUUAAGGAUCCAACAUUAUUGGAUUAAAAAUCCAACAGAUACAACUCUUUGAAGUGUUGAAAAUCCAUAAAGAGACGUAAGUCCUUGGAGCAAUGGAAGUCCCUGAGGAGACACUAGCCCUUGAAGCGACAUGAAAAUCCAAUAUCGAGGAAUUGUCUACGGCAUGCCUGAAGCGUAGUAGACCAUUUGGUUAAAAAAAUAUUGUUAUGUAGAAAUGAAGAAAAUAAAGAUCAUGGCCUUGCUUUAGAUGGUGCUUAAAAUAUAAACAAGCAAAUUGCUCAAAAAGAAUUAAUUGUCUGUGAACAGACCAAAGAUCAUAUUAAUUAUCUAUCAUAUGAAUCAAUCAUUUAGUACACAUCAUUUGACAAUCAAUUGUGUUACAAACUAAUUAUUUUGACUAAGCAAGUAUUAGUAUUAUUGUUAAUAUAAUGACUAAUAAUGAUGACAAUAGUUAACUAAGUGCUUUUUAAUAAAUUGUAACAAUUUUGAUUUCGAUUCCCAAAAAAAAAAAACUCAUUAAUGAGAACACAAAUUAUUCUUAUUCUAAUUCAUGUAGUACAAAUAAAUAAUUUGGUCGGAUUUUUAUUUCAAUCCAUUUCGAUUACUGAUUAGACAUAUGCUACAAAUGAUCUUAUUUUUCUUAAUACAAGUUCUUUAUUAGUAAAUCGUAAUUGAAGGUUAGUACUAUACGAAUGAUUUAUUUAAAAAAAAAAUUGUUUUUCUUCUUUUAAGCCUAACAAUUAUAGUCAUCAUGAACCGAAAAUCCUAGUGACCCUUGACGUUUGAACUAACUUUAGCCCAAAGCUUGGCUUUCAUAACAUAAUCUUUAAGGUACUAACCCUCACAAAUAGGUAAUUAACAUUAUCUGUAUGGUAGUAACCCACACAAACAGGUAAUCAGAGGUGGACCUAAAUAGGCCGGGCACCCCAUUUUGUACGUAAUGACACCCUUUCAUAGAAUUUUCCGGUUGUUGAGCUUAAAAGAAAACAAAAGGGUGACAAGGUAAUAGGAGAAAACAUCAUUAUCAUAUAAAAUAGUACAACCCAAAAGGGGUCGUAUGAUAUUCAAUUAUUCAAAGAGUCUUUUACUUCAUAGUUUGAUUGAGUUGUGAUUGAAGAAACUUAAAGAUAUGAUAUGAUUGGUGUUGCAGUUGAAAAGCUGUAACUUAAAAGAUAUAAUAUUUAAAUGUUUAACAAAUAUUUGUCACAAUAGUUUGGAAGUAAAAGUUAAUUUUCUCUCACAUACGUAUGAAUAAACACCUAUAAUAUGUUUGUUAUUUUUAUCAAAAUCAUAUGUAAAGAUUAUAUUUAUCACACGCUAUUAAUAUUUGUUUAAUAUAUAUUUAUAUAUAAUUGUUCUUAGGUGCUAACACGCUCAUUUUUUUUAAUACAGACACGCUCUUAAACCGUGUCAUUUAAGGGAUUUUUUUUAAUGAAUUAUAAAGUUGUUCGGUUUAUAGGAGUUAAAAACUAACUCUUUUAAACCCUAUGAUUUAAAAGCGUGCCCAUAUGAAAAAAAAAUAAGGGUGCCCGUACUAGAUAAGAACUAAUAAAUAAUUAUUCUCAAGUGAGGGCACCCUUAUAUUUUUUUUAAUGCGGACCAUGCUCUUAAACCGUGCAGUUUAAAAAAGUUAUUUUUGAAUGAAUUAUAAAGUUGGGGUAAAAGCUCAUUUAGUCCAUGUAUUUUAAGAUUAGUAUCCAUUUAAUCUCUAUAUUUUUAAAAAUGCCUCGAAACAUCCAUGCUAUUAAAGUAUUGAUACCCCUACCGUUAUUUUUUAUUUCUUUUGGCUUAUUUUUAUAAUAUUACCCUUUUAUAAUAAUUUUUUGUUUGGACAUUAAUAAAAAGAAAAUAAUUAAAUUACCAAUUUAACCCUAAAAAUAAAAAAAAUUAUAUUAAUUUUUAAUUGUAAAAAAUUGUAUGCAAACUACCAAGUGUGCAAAUGGUGCUUGUAAAAAAAUUAAUAUAAUUUUUUAUUUUCUAGGGUGAAAUUGGUAAUUUAAUUAUUUUCUUUUUAUUAAUGUCAAAACAAAAAAAUUAUUAUAAAAGGGUAAUACUGUAAAAGUAAGCCAAAAGAAAUAAAAAGUAACGGUAGGGGUAUCAAUACUUUAACGACAUGGAUGUUUUGAGACAUUUUUAACAAUAUAUGGACUAAACAGACACUAAUCUUAAAAUAUAGGGACUAAAUAAGCUUUUACCCUAUAAAGUUGUGUAGUUGAAGAGAUUUAAAAAGUAACUCUCUUAAAGCCUAUUAUUUAAAAGCAUGCUCGUAUUAAAAUAAUAAUAAUAAUAAGGACGCCCACACUACAAAAGGAUUCUUAGGUACGAUCAUCCUUUUUUUUUUAAUUGUGUAUACGCACUUAAACCAUGCGGUUUAAGAUGUUCAAUGGACUAUAAAGACGUAUGAUUUAAGAUAGUUAAAAACUAAUUCUUUUGAACCCGAUAGUUUAAAAGUCUGUCCGCAUAAAAAAAAUGAGGGUGUAGGCACAAGAAAAUUAUUAAUAUAUAAUUAUUCUCAGGUGCAGGCAUCCUAUUUUUUUUUUUAAUGCGGACAUGCUUUUAAACAAUGCGGUUUAAGAGAGUUAUUUUUGAAUGAAAUAUAAAACCGUGCAAUUUAAGAGAAUUAAAAACUAACUCUCUUAAAGCCCAUGAUUUAAAAGAAUGAUCAUAUAGAAAAAAUAAAAUAAAAUGAGGGCGCUCACACUAGAGAAUGACUAAUAUAUAAGCAUUCUUAGAUAAAGGGCACCAUAUAUAUAUAUAUAUAUAUAAUAGUUUUCUGGUCAUGGAUUUUAAAGUGCGGGAAAGUCUGGGAAAGUUUUAAAACCACACGGUUUUAAAGGCUUACAGUUUUAAGCUUUUAAAACCAUGCGGUUUUAAAACUUUCCUGCAUUUUUCCGCACUUUAAAAUUUCGGACUGGAACAUUUAUAUAUAUAUAUAUAUUUAUUUAUUUAUUUAUUUAUGCAGACACGGUCUUAAACCGUGCUGUUUAAAAGAGUUGUUUAAGAGAGUUAUUUUUUAAUAAAUUAUAAAGGCGUGUUGUUUAAGAGAGUUAAAAAACUAACUCUCUUAAACCCAGUGGUUUAAAAGCAUGUCCGAAUAAAAAAAUAAGGGCACCCACACUAGAGAAUGACUAAUAUAUAAUCAUUAUUAGGUGUGAACACCUUUUUUUUUUUAAAUGCGGACAUGCUAUAAAGUAAUGCUGCUUAAGAGUUAAAAACUAACUCUCUUAAGCCUUAUGGUUUAAAAGAAUGUUCGCAUGAAAAAAAUUAAAAAUAAACCGAAACUGAAAAGUCCAGUUCUGUUCAAAUUUUUUUAUUUAUUUCGAUUUGGUUUUUUUGAGGCUAAAAACCCAAAUAUAUAAAAACCGAGCCAAACCAUUUGGUUUAGUUCGGAUUUUGGAUGAAAAGUUAUAAAACUUGAAUCAAACUAAUAAUAUCGUUCGGAUCCUUGUCGUUUAUAAAAUUUUGGUAUGGCCCAAUGUUUAGGAAAUGCUUGCAUAUAGAAAUUCUGUUGUGGCCUAAUAUUUUUUGCAAACUUUGUAAAAGGGUCCUUGAUCAAAAUCAAUAGGGCAAGAUAUCCCGGUCCCUAGGUUUUGGAAAAUUAAAUUAUAGCAUAGAAACUUAUCUUACUUUAUUUAUAUUUUGUGCUAAAAGCUUUGAUAUUAAAGCAGUGACAAUGAUGUUGAAAAUUAUUCAUUUUAGUCCAAAAUUCUUGCAAGUUUUUUUAGUACAAAUCAGUAAAUUAUUUUAAUUUUCUUUAUUAUACAUUGAUUAUAGUAGGCCUUGUGUGAAGGUUAACCUGAACUGAAAAUCUGAUUUGUUAAUCCGAACCAUUAAGCAAAUAGUUACUAAAAAACCGAAACCAAACCCAAUAAGCAAACUAUUACAAAAAAACCGAAUCAAAUUGAACUAUCGGUUUUAGUUAGGGUUUUAUUUUCCUUAAAGACUGAACGGUUUGUUUUUUGAAUUUCGGACUUGAACUGAACCAAAACCAAAAAUUUAUUCCGAAACCGAACCGAAUUGAACCGAUGCCCACCCCGACCCUCAUUAGAGAAGUACUAUAUUAUUGGUUCAUGAAAAUGUGGUGGGAUUAAUCAUUUUUUUCAAUCUUUUUGUUCUUGUGUUUGUUUGUCCUUUUUUUUUCCUGCCUAUUCAGUUUGUUUGACAUGCUACUAUGAAUUUUACAACAAUUUAGGCUUUUUCUAAAUACUUUUCUACACUGAUAUAUAUUAUAGAAUUACUUAAAUUCAUCUUAUAUUUUCAUUAGUGUGAGAGUAUCCUGUUGGAAUAAUUGACUAAAGAGUGAAGAUAUAGUUUGAGUGAUCCACAUGUUGAAAUUUAAAAUUUUCUUGCUCAAAAUGCUAAUGCUUUUCUAAAAUAUAAAUUCAGUGUUAGACAUGCUACGUGGUUUCUGUAUCUUUUAUUUUAUAACCGCUCUUUUUGUAAUUAGACAUGUUAUGAUUCCUGUAACGGGAACGAUCCAUUCUGUACCCUAAUUUCUCUAUUAUUGUUUCGUUUCUUUUAUUAUUAAUAAAUGCCUCCUUUGAGAGGCCCGCUUAUUAAAAAAAAAAAACCUUUAUUGUGAUGAGUAAUGGACAGGAACACCUGCAAGAAUUUCAUUAUUUUCUUAUUAAACGACAGCAAUAAUUUAAAUUCAAGGCCAUAGCCUUGGCGGUCUCGCUGAGGGUGGGCCAUUUUCCCACCCUGUAUAUAACUUAUAAUUAAUGGCCCACCCUGUAUAUAACUUAUAAUUAAUUCAGUUACAUAUGCAUGAGAGAUAGCGGUGGCCUAGGAUUGUCUAAGAUCUUUAAAAUCCCGAUAGGACAUAAAUAUGGAUCAAAUUCUUUCCUACUUUUAUAUUUGGAAUAAAAAAUAUUAAGACUCAUUAUCAUCUUUUCAUCCUUAAUCACCAAACUAUGGGUUAGACUUCCGUGUUCGGACUUGCUCUCUAAGUAUCUUCACCAUGUUGUAAACCAUAUGUCCACACAACUCCCCACAUACAUAUCUCUUGAAGUAUAUGUUGAAAAUAAAAAUUAUCUAGAGUCUUUAGGCAUCUUAAACUGUUAUAUUGAACCUCAUAAAACCAUUGGUACUGACCACAUUAGGAUUUUGUCAAACUUCAUUGAGUAUAUCUAUCAUGGUUAGAAAGUAUAGUGUAUUUUUAUAAAUUCUUGAAAGCAUCUGUCAUAUGGUUUGGAAACAGCUAAGUAAUGUAUUAUUUUCGCUUCACAAUAUGUGUUAAAGAAAUAUUCUCAUAUUGUAUGAGAGUAUAUAAUUCUAACGCUAAGCUAAAUAUGAUAUUAGCCAAACUAUUUGUAGAGCUUGAAACGCACUAAUAUUAUUAGCCAAACCAUCAGGUACAGAGUUGUCCUCAAGAUAAAUAUGAGAGUAAUGAAACUCUAUUUUUCGAAUUUAUUAAUUAAUUGUAAGCAAUUCGGACAAUCUGAUAUAUUAAAAAAAAUGAGGGUGCUCACUCCUGAGAACGGUUAGUUAGUAUAUGUGAUUAUCUAGAAAUGUAAGAAAGGGACGCUCAAGUAAAGGAGAAAGAAAUCGGGUUCUCACUGUGCUAAGCAGUUAAAAAAUGAAUAAAAAAUAUAUAUAACCAGCUUCAUAUGAAACGAAAAACAAUUUCAAAUAGUUAAUUAAAAAAAGUAAUUAGCAUCUGCACCGCUUAGGACUUAGAAAAUCGUAUCUGAUUAAUCAUACAUUUUUUUAAUGAUUCAGAAAAAAAAAUCAUUUCACGUUUAACACGUAAAAGAUCCUUAAGAGACGAGAUAAUAAUUUAGGGAAAAAAAAAUCCUAUGAAAACCAUUUAAUAAUUGUCUGAACUGAAAUUUGGCCUAUCACGGUAUAUACAAUACGCAUACAGGCUAAACUUGAGUGCUGUAUUUAGCGCAUUCUAAUUUACCCAAUUAUUAGAGUUAAGUUUAGAUAUCUUAGAAUUCCCUAUAAAAAAUGUUAGAUAUUGAGAUAUAUUCAGUUUCUUAUGUUUCACAUUAAUCAUAAUCAAUUUCCACGUAUCCAUAUUUGUAUCUGAGUCGCAGAUAGAAUAAUUCCUCGUACAAUAAAAAUUACAAAUAACGUAAUUAAAAAAAAAAGAUGCAAUAAGUAACACAUGGUAAGCAACUUUAUUCCCUAGUGGUGGGUUGGUGACUUGGCGUUUUACAUUUUAAUGUAGAGGGCACUUUGAUUUCUCACGUGUGGUGGGUUGGUGACUUGGCGUUUUCAAUCUUAAUGUAAAGGGCACUUUGAUUUCUCACGUACUCAAUUUUUAAUUUCCCUCUUCUAUAAAAUAUGGGUUGAUAAAUAGAUCUAGACAAAUAUUAAUAUGAAUGUAUAUAUCUCUUAGGUAUGAGGUAGAGGUAUCGCUUCUAUUUUUCACAAAUUUUUAAUUUUUUUUCGAUAUACGUCUGUGUUGUUCUUUAUAUAUAUAAUUCAAACUCCCACUAGAUCUAGAUCCUAGAUAGUAAUCUAGUUGUAGAUUGUAACAACUUCAAGAAAAAUAACAUAACAAUUCUUCAAAAAUGUCAUAUGAUAUGUCAUACUUCUUAGGAUACUAAGAGCACUAUAUUGUUUCGUAACUUCGUAAAUAUGGCAUUACCGAUAUUAAUUAAGUUUUUGUUGUGAUCAUAAUAUGUUACAAACUGCUAAAAUUAAUGAAUGUCAUCGUAAUCUGACACAAAUUGUCAAAUUAAGUCCAUACUUGAGAAGUCAUAAAGAUUAAGAAUUUAGAUGUUACUACGCCAUAAGGUGAGAAUGCUAACUUUGGCCUGUGUGAUCACGUUUCUGCAUGUAUAUGCAUCUGGCUAAAAUAAUUUUUUCUACGAUUUCGUUAAGAUUUCACAGCAAAGCAAAUAUCAAAUAACAAAAAUCCACGCAACAAUAAUCGAGGAAGUUGUCAAUAUCUGAAUUCAUAUUAUAGAACAAAUACGAUGUUUGUUUCUUGAUAAAAUCUAUACAAGCACUUGAAUCAUAUGAACUUUUGCAUCAACACUUCAAUUUCCCCCUCAAAUUAAGCUUAAGUCAUUAAUCAAUGGCAGCCUAUCCUAUCUCUUACUCCUUUUCUCAUUCUGUUUUUGCAAUAUCAUUUUUCAUUCUUUGUCUCUCUAGUAUCUCUUCAACAGAUCUUACUCACUAAUAACAAUGUUGUUGUUGAAUUUGUUGGCAAUGCCUGUUCCAUUAAGGCCAGGAACAAGGACUAUCUUACUUAAAGGGAUUACUCAAAAAGGUCUAUAUUGAGUUCAAGCAGUGUCUUCCUCCACUCAGCAUGCUAUCUUAGACUAUCUCUCUUCCAAAACUUUCCAUUCACCUGUUUCUCCCUUUUGCACUAUGUCUAGUAAUUCUGUGUCAAAUAGUUCUAAUUCUGUCUCUUUCAUCAUGUGUUUCAUUUGAAUAAAGAUAUCUAUACUCCAGUUGCAAUGCAAGUCUCUUCAUUGUCAGUCAAUGUUGAUUUACGUUACAAAAGACUUGGUCAUCCAGCUGGUCAUGCACUUAAGUGUGUUUUAAAAUCUUGCAAUCCAUCUGCUGAUGUUAAUGAAAUUCAUAAACUCAGUUUUUGUAAUGCUUGUCAAUAUGGCAAAAAUAUCUUCAACAUUUUAAUUCUAUUGAUACCAAAACUACUGAACCAUUACAACUUCUUUAUAUAGAUCUCUAGGGACUUUCUUCUACUACAUCCACACAAGGUUACGCUUACUAUUUGUUUAUCUUAGAUGACUACAACAGAUUCACUUGGAUCUUUCCAUUAACUGCUAAGUUUGAUGCUCUUUCUGUCUUUAUCACAUUCAAAACCUUUAUAGAAUACCAUUUGAACAAAAAAAAUUAAAUCAGUACAAACAUAUUGGGGAGAAGAGUUCAAGUCUUUUUCUUUAUUACUUUUAUCCUUUGGAAUUCAUUUUAGACACCCUGUCCACAUAUUCAUCAUCAAAAUGGUAGGAUUGAAAGAAAACAUAAACACAUUGUUGAUAUUGGUCUUACCUUGUUAGCUCAAGCCAAAUUACCCUUGAUUUUCUGGUGGAAUGCAUUUCACACAGCUGCUUAUCUCAUCAAUCGAUUACCUACACCUGUGCUUAAAAAUCAAUCACCUUACUUUAAAAUUUUUCAACAACAACCAUAUUAUAAUAUGUUCAGAGUUUUUGGCUGCUCUUGUUUUCUCUAUUUGCAACCCUAUAACAAACACAAGCUAGAGUUUAGAAUAGGAAGAUGCAUUUUUAUUGGCUAUAGUUCACAUCACAAAGGGUAUCAGUGUUUACAUUCAUCAGGCAGGGUGUAUGUGUCCAAUCAUGUUGUGUUUAAUAAGCAAUCUUUUCUUUAUCAGUCAGGUGUUGAUUUCUUUUUUGUUCAAGAGUCUUGUUCAUCUGAGUCAUUCUCUACUUCUCAAUCCAGAGAUGCUAUUUCACAUUCUAUGAUACAGCCUUUGUCAGCAGCUUCUAUAGUAAGUAAUCCCUCAGUUCAUUUGCCUUCACAGGUAACUGCUACCUCCUCUUCUUAUAUUGAUCCAUCUGAUCAUUCAUCAACUUCUCCUCACUCACAGUCAACCUCAUCUAAUCACAGACACAACUCCUCACAACAUUCUUCUCCACCUCAUAAUCCUCCACCAUCUCAGCCACCUGGUCAUCCAAUGAUUACUAAGUCUAAGGCUGGUAUAUUCAAACCAAAAACAUAUUUAGCUGCAUUACUUUCUGCUCCCACAGAACCAAUAUAUGUAAAACAAGCCUUAGCAUAUCCAAAGUGGUUUCACGCCAUGAAAGAAGAGUUUAACUCUUUACAAGCCAACAAGACAUGGACUCUAGUUCAACCUUCUUCCCCUGUAAAAGUCAUAGAAAAUAAAUGGGUAUUCAGGAUCAAAUAUAACCCAGAUGGCUCUAUUUCUAAAUACAAGGCUGGACUUGUAGCCAAGGAUUUUGCUCAAACUCCAGGUGUGGAUUACAAUGAGACCUUCAGUCUGGUUGUUAAAGCUUCAACCAUUAGAAUUAUCCUUAGCUUGGUUGUAAUGCAGGAGUGGAUUAUUAGACAGGUUGAUGUUAAUAAUGCAUUCCUUAAUGGUUUUCUUGAAGAGGAUGUAUAUAUGUCACAACUUGAAGGUUUUAUUUAUGCAUCUAAGCCUCAUCAUGUGUGCAAACUUACAAAGGCUCUUUAUGGCUUAAAACAUGCAACUAGGGCCUGAUUUGAUAGAUUUAAAACAACUAUGGUGUAUCAGUGGCAUUUUGUUAAUAGCAUAUCAGACACAUCCUUAUUCUACAAGUGGCAUAAUGGUCACAUUCUUUUGGUGUUGGUUUAUGUUGAUGAUAUUAUUAUUACUGGUUCAAAUUCUUCUCUAGUUCUUUAAGUCAUUUCUGAUAUGCCGCAAACUUUUACACUUAAAGAUUUAGGAAAGUUGAACUAUUUUCUAGGCAUUCAAGUAACCAAAACAGAGAAAGGUAUUCAUUUAUCUCAGGCCAAAUAUAUUGCAGACUUGUUAGCCAAGAAUAACAUGGAUAAAUGAUGCCUAUAUCCUACACCUAUGGCUACCUCCCAUCAUCUUACAUAGAAUUCAGGGGCUAUUGUUGAUAAUGCUUCUUAGUAUAGAAGUCUAAUUGGAGCACUUCAAUAUAUUACUCUUACUAAACCAGAGAUUGCUUUUCCUGUUAAUAAACUAAGUUAGUUUAUUUCCAAUCAUUCUCCUGAUCAUUGGCAGGCCUGUAAGAGAUUGUUGAAUUACCUCAAAGGGACCAUUCACUUUGGCUUAGAAUUCUAUAACUAUGGUAGUUUGCAGCUCAAUUGUUUUACUGAUGCAGAUUGGUGACAAGGAUGACAGAAAAUCUGUAACUGGGUAUGCUGUUUUCUUGGGUCCAAAUUUGGUUUCUUGGUUAUCAAAGAAACAACAUGUUGUUUCUAGGUCCAGUACAGAGUCUGAAUAUAGAGCCUUAGCUUCAGCAACCUCAGAAAUUCUAUGGAUUCAAGCCUUACUCUUUAAAUUGCAUAUCAAAUCAAAUGUCAUUCUUUUUUUAUGGUGUGAUAAUCAAGGAGCCAUUGCUUUAGCAAACAAUCCAGUUUAUCAUGCCAAAACCAAGCAUGCUGAACUGGAUAUUCAUUUCAUUCGAGAAAAGGUAUUGGCUAAGCAAAUUGAUAUCUGCUAUGUUCUGAGUGUUGAUCAAACAGCAUGCAUUUUUACAAAGGCCUUAUCUUAUGGUCAUUUUCAUUAUCUGAGAUGGAAGCUUAAUGUUCUUCCUGGAACAUUUCGCUUAAGGGGGGAUGUUAGAGAGUAUGUUGAUGCUAAUGUUAAUAUACGAUCUACGGAGCAUUCUUAAAUAAGCCUGAUUACAGAGGAUGCACAAUAAGCUUGAUGGUCUCCCUUGCAGCUGAGUAUGUUAUAAUCAUAAGUUAGUUAUGCUGAGCUGGCAAUAUUGUUGUAACGGUUUAGUAACCACUAGCUCAAUGUGUGAGUGUGUGUAUAGAGUUUCUAGAAGUAUCUAGCAAGAAGAUUCUCGUUUGUAUUCAUUCAAGUAUAAAUAGCAGCUUAGAUUCAUUUUAUGUACAACCGUUUUAAUAAAUAAAAGUGAAAUAAUUUUCCUUCAUUUUCUUGAUCUUUUUCUCAGUAACCAAACACAUUUCUAGCUCAUUUUCAGCUCAUUUCAACAUUGGGUGGAAAAUUCUCGUAUUGCUUGGUACCUCUAUUAUCACUUGAGGCGCAAAAUCAAUCAAAAUCAACUUUGGUACUAAUAGAGUUGUUUUAGGUUUUUGGGUGAUUUUUACUCCCUUGGUUGCGAGAAUUCCUAAAACCGUCUACUUUCUUACACUUGAAGCAAUUAGUGUAGGAAACUAAAGAAUCGAGGUACUUGAUAGCUCUUCAUCAGGAACUAAAGAGGGCAAUGUUAUUAUUGAUUCAGGUACUACAUUGACACUUUUGCCACAAGUGUUUAGCUCAGAAUUAGUGUCAGUAGUCUCAAGUUUGAUCAAUGCAGUACCCAUUAAAGACCCUAACGAGUUGCUAGAUCUUUGUUACAAUUUUUCUUCUGAUUUUAAUAUUCCAGAGAUCACUGUACAUUUUACUGGUGCAUAUGUGAAGUUAAGUCCUUUGAACACUUUCACUAGGGUUAGCAGAGAACUUGUUUGCUUAAUAUUUAAAGGAUUUGAUCAAAGUCUUGCUAUAUAUGGUAAGUUGAUGCAGAUGAAUUUCUUGGUUGGCUAUGACACUGAAAAGCAGACGGUGUCGUUUAAGCAAAUUGAUUGCACCAACCAAUGAUAUGAACUAUUUUCAAUUCUAUACAAAACAUUGACUUGUCAUUUUGUAAUUUCUAUUUUACAUAUGUAUUUGAUUACUUAAUUAUGUAAUUGAUUUUUUUUAAUACUGAUUACACAUCAGAUUAUUGUAUUGCACAUAUAUUUACAACUGCUAUUAUAGUAGAUAUUACACUGAUAUUUACAAUCAGAUAUAUAUAAUUGGGACUUACAUUAUUAUAGCAGAUUUUGCACUGAUAUUUACAAUCAGAUAUACACAAUUGGGACUUACAUUAUUACAUAAAUUCAAUGAAGUAUAUGUCCAGAUAAAUGACCCUCAUAGACGAGGGAUGUUUCUGCUCCAUUCGCAUUUCGCAAUGGAGAAAGACUUAUAAAUAUUUUAGCCCCCACAAUUCUUUUGUGGAGACUUGAAUUGCUGCCCUCACAACCACUUCGCCCAAAGGCCUAGUUAUGUAAUUGAAAUUUGAAACCUUUCAAUAAGGCUCGUUUUCAAAGUCGCUCUUUAUAAAUUAUACAAGCACAUGCGCUCUCUCUUUUUUUUUUUUUUAAUAUUCAACGUGUUUGUAAAAUUUGACCUUGGAGAUAUAUGUUAAGGAUUUUGCUAUGUUACAUUGAAUGUACCAUACACAACUAACAAGAACCACACAAUUAUGUGGGUCCCACAAUUUAUGUGGUUCUUGUUGGUUGUGUAUGGUACAUUCAAUGUAACAUAAAGGCUCCCAUAUGUUAAUGUUUAAGUUAUGUAGUCCGUAAUGACGCGAUUAAUUAACUAAUAUAGUGUAAGGACAUCACAUGCUUAACCCCAGACGUUAUUUUUAUUGUCAUCAAUUUUCUAACCUAUUUCCCUAGGCAAUAUUGCAAGCUUUGUGGAGAGAUUUAGACACUGUUUCUAUCUUCAAAUGCAUUUCACAUGCAUAUUUAUUAAGGUCUAAAAGAAUUACAUAACGAAAAUCAGAUAAAACAUUGACUAAUUUAAUUUUCUCUGUGGACAGCAUUCUUGAUCAUUAGUCAGGCUGAAUUAUUUGGCUAAUUACGUGCAAAUGCAAUUAUAGCUAGAUAAUUAAGCUGACUUUCUAUGGAUGCGCUUAAUUUUCUGUAACAUCUGACAUCUCAAAUUGUUUUCUGGUCCAGUUAAUUAGAGUUCUUUUUAAUUUUUACAUAUUUAGUUUUCAGACCGUGUCCAUUAUGAUUGAAAUUAACACACAAUUUAGAAUAUUUUCCCUUAUCAUAAAAUAAUUGAGUUUUUUCUCCUCGUGACGAAUUCUUUUACUCGCCUGUGCCAGAAUUCUAAUUUAGUUCUCUUGAGGACUAGAAUUUUUAUUAUUUCACAUAAAGACCAUUCAACAUAUACGGACAUAUAAAUGCUACAGUGAUAUCUACGCUGGGUAAUGAAAUCAGUUAAGGGAAAAGAAAAUCAUUUUCGAUUGUUCUUCGUAUGAAAACCGAGGGAAAAAUUGUAAUUGAGUUUGCCACAACAUUUUUUAUUUAUUUUUUCCUGCCAUCCGUGAUUAACACAAAAUUGCUUUCAGAAUUGUUCCGUUUGAUUGACCAGCCCCCAAUUGAAGACCUUAUUCAUCGAUUUAAACUCAAUUUGUUACAAUAAUAGCAGCCUUUAUGAUUUACUCCUAAAUCACGGUACAUUACAGCCGGGCGGAUGUGAAGUUGACUACUUGAACUUUUACAAAAACACUUAGGGUGUGUGUUCAUGCUUCAAUUUCAUUGGUGCAAAUGACCCUGCAAUUUACAUAUAUUGAUGCAGGCCAAUUUCAUUUUUUGUUAUUAUUUAUUUAUUUAUUUAUUUUUUAACAAAGGCACGCAGGCUACUACAAUAGUGAAAAUCGGACUUAGAAAUUGAGUCAUAAGAAAGCUGCUCUUUAUCUCCAUAGCUAGACGUUGAUUUCAUGCAUGCCAAUUUUUUGAUUGGCUAUGACAUUGAGAAUUAUAAGGUUGCCCUUCAAAGAAUUAGCAGAUAUAUGAAAUGAUUGCAAGCAAUCAAGCUUACAAUUCCCAGCCUCUUCGUGCUCUCUCUACACACACCCCAUUACAAAGAGAAACUACGAACUAGCUUACAUAUAUAUAGCGCUUAUAAUAAAUUAUUCGGUUACAUAUGCAUUGGAUAUAGGGAAGCUAUUAGCCAAUCUUGGAUUAGCUGUUGUGUGGAGCUGAUUUAUCCUCAACAAAGAGCACUCUGUAGAAAGAAGUGACACCAUUAUCAGUUUUCAGGUGGAGGAAUGGUUGAAGUUGCUGAUACCACUUAGCUGACUUGAACUUCUUGAGGCAGAACAUGAUAUACUCUUAUACCAGUUUCUUCAAAGAUUUUCUUUAGCUCCAAGACUAAUCUAGAUCUUCUCUUAAUUUUCUCCCGGUAAUUCGAUGUGAGUGAUGUAAAGACCCAUUAUCAUCUUCUCAUCCCUAAUAUGCUUCACCUCCACACUGUGGGUUGGACUCCACUGUUGGGGCCUAAACUCCAAGUAGCUUCCGUAAAAUAAAAAGAAAACUUAAUAUAGUAAACCAUGUGUUAACACAUUAUCUGCCUUUUGAAGUUUAUAGCGAAUAUAAAUUAUGGAAAUCAUGAUCUAGCGAUGCAUGCACGCAUUGAAGGUUUUAGUUGAAAGAGUUGACUUAUGAAGGUUUUAGUUGAAAGAUUUUACUUACUUUUUAAUACGAGAUUUUAUAUGCAAAAUCUUUUCCAUUGGCGUGAAAACAUCAAUGGCGAACUCCACAGCAUCCUCUACUGCGCUUCUGUAAAAAUUGCUGAUGGGUUUGGUAGCCAGAACUGAAUUUGGAUAAAAUAUCUUCUCAUUGUCAUAUCUCAAAAAAAUGGUUGUCAUAAUGUGCAUCUCCUCAACGACCAUCUGCGAUAUAAAAUGCGUCAAGCAAAUUUGCUCGAUCAAUAUUACAAAUUUAAUCACAUGUAUACACGUUAGAAAGAUGACUGAGUAAUUAUUACCUGUGCUCCAUCAAUGAUGCAUCGAUCACCAACAUCAAAUGGCUGUGUCACAAAUAAAAAUAUGAUGGCUUCAAAUACAUUCUUGGCAGUUUUACCGAAUAAGAACACUGCAAGUACAACUUGGGAUAAAAUAAGUAGCAGAGCUUUAGCGGUUAAUAAACCCACUAUAAGCAACCACACAAUGAUGAUCAGAACCAUCACAGUCCCCGUAAAAAGCUUGUUCAACUCUUGCAUGGCUUCUUUGGAAUUAUUUAAGUAAUGUGCCAGAGAUUUCCGUUGCUUGUAAACAUUUACCUGCAAAAACCAAGUGCAUCAUAACAAUGGUUUAAUUACUAAAAAUUAAAUUACCGGCACAUAUGGAAACGCUCCAAUUGUUUGAUGAAUUGCCCAAACUACAAUCGAUUAUUUGUUUGUUUUUUUUUCUUUUGUUAUGAGAUACGUCUAUCCAUUCUUUGUUUUAAGUAAUGUGUGUUUUUCACACUAAUGACUUAAGAAAGUGAAUUUAAAAAAUAACUACAUGAUUUAUGAUGCGUAUGCACAUCACACUAAUCAAUUCACAAAGUGUGUUACAUACAAAAUUUUUGAGAUUCAAAGAAUGUGCUGUUAUUUCAUCAAAGAUAAUUGUAAAGAGUAAUGCAAAUUAAAAUUGCUUUCAUAACUCAAAGCUGGUUAAUUGCUUCCUAUAAAUAGCAAUCAAUUCUUUGUAAUCUAUUCACGAAUUCACAGAGAAAUGGAAUGGAAAGAACAGCUAAUUUGAAAUUUGUCUGUUAUUGGUUAUUAUCAUUAUGCCUCUUUAGCUUUUGUUCUUUUGGAUUCUUUGCUUGCAUGUAUUGGAUACUUCCCAAUUUGAUCCACGAUAAUUUAUUAAUUUGUUAAAUUCUCCUUACGAUCUUAAUACAUAAGCAUAUGGGCAAAAAGCCUAUCGACCAUAUAGCUUUUGGUUAUUUUAAAUAUUAUUGACUUUCUAAUUUUAUAAUGGCACCCAUACGGUCGGGUAUGGUAUACAGUAAGUUCUUACCAAAUGUCCAAAUUUGUAAUUGACAAAAAGUCAUGGGCACAGUUUACAAAAGAACUUACCACCCAGUUCUUAACAUCUGACCUCUUGACCCUUCCAGUUUCUGCCACUCCCAACCGCCGCAUGAUUUCGUCCACCUCUUCCUUUAUAAAGAACCGCAAGAGGUCAUCCUUUUCCAUAUAACUGGUCAUUGCCAACGCAAAAAAACAGUAGGCAUGGGAAGUCUGAGACCAUAAUUCUAGAAGUGAAAAAUAGAACAAAAUGCAUGUGGGUGGAAAUUUUAGCAGUUUUUAAGUACCCUCACAUUUUGUCAGGUCGGGCAACGUUCCGAAAAAUCUGAAGAGCAGCAGCCUCUGCUUCGCUUUCGCUUCCAAUAUUCUUGUUUUGGUCACCACCAAGUACAUCAUACUCAUAGUCAUCAAGUUCAUUUGAGACAAUGGACAGCUUUUUACUGCUAAUGUGAUUUAUUAACUUUUCCAUGGUCCAUGCGGUAAUUUUCUUCAUCUUUUUACGCUUUCCUCUAACAUGAUGAAUCGUCUCCUCCUCCUUUUGAUUUCCAGUUUCAUUCUCCAUAUUCGUGCGGCCUACUCUUUCAGUGAGCCGUAUUAGUGGUGGACCCGAACUAGUGAAAAUAACAUACUCAUCAAACAAGGCUUCUUGAAUCUGGUCGAAGAAUCUCUUUGAUAAUCUUGAAGCAACCAGUAACUUAAAUGAGUAAGUCUUAACCAUCCACAGAACAGUCCCGAUAAGACAAGCAACAAGAACCUCUUGUAAUAUAGUUUAUAAUCUUUUUAGUCUCUUUUGAUCUCUACACUCCACAGUCGUCAAACAACAAACACCAAGACAAAAGAACAAAAGCAAACCAAAUAAAGGCCUCAACACUCCUCCUCAAACCAUCCAAGUAAUACAGAACCAUAAGCUUUAGCUUGAAGUUUUUUUUCAAUCAAGCAAAUUAAAGCAAUCAUCAACCAUUUAGUCACCAAUCGACCACAAAAGAUUACUGUUGGCUGAAAGGUGAAUUCAAACACCUUUGCCAGCAAACGACAGCGUUUCCAGUAGUGUUCAGAAGCUUUAAGUGAUCACGUGAGAAGCACAGCCAAUCCUUGUUUCGAAACGGCAACACAUGAGUUCGUUUUGGAUAUGCUCAACUUAAGUGAAGUCACGGGUUCUUCACGUGAUGGUUAGCUGAAGCUGAGUUCGUUAAAUAACAGACUCAUAGUACACGUGUCAAGGAGCUGUGCAAUCUGGGUUGUUAGAGCUGUUACAAGACUGGUAUAUAAGCUGCAGCCUUCUGGUUUGGAGAUCAUCGUGCGUGAUAGAGAUUGAGGGAAGUCUGAGAGGAAGUGUCUUACUUGUUCUUGUUCUUAGAAUCUCUGUAACAAACUUCUUGAAUCAUUCAAUAAAGCUGUCUGAGGAAUUCACUCGUGGAUGUAAGCCAUUAAUGGCUGAACCACGUUAAAGCUUGUGCUCUGUUUUGUGUGAUUGGUUUUCUUGCUGUUUUUGGUUUCUAAGUUUGUAAUCAAUCCUUUUUGUUACGAGUCUUAUUGGGUUUAGUUGAUUCUCUGAAGUUGAUCUAAGCUGAUAUUGCAUCUUGAUUAAUCUUGGCUGAGAAUCUUGGGAGGAUCUGGUUCUUCAUAAAAGCAAAGCUAAAGAACCAGAUUUGCAACAAUUACCAAUACCAAUACAAGCCAUUUCCACAACUUUAACUCCCAUAUCAAAUGGUUUUUCAAUUUGUUCACAGUUAUAAGCUAGCAAUUAACAACCCCAUUACGCUCACAAAUGCGAUCAACUCAAUCACAGUCAAAAUUUUCUUUACCUUACCACCCUUUUUAUGCGUCUUUUCCUUCUGCUUCUUCUUCUCCUCAUUGUGUCCUGGAUUCACCAAUCUCGGAAUACGUGGUGGUGAAUUCGUCAGCUUUGUAUUCCCUUCAACCAAUUUCGCAUCGACUGAUACAUGUGGCUUCUCAAAUCUGGGGACCAAAUUUCCCCGAGUCAAAGCCUGGCCUUGGCCGCCUGCUGUCUCUGCGAGUGGGUUAUCUGGAGAGCCUGUAGCUACUAAAACCGGUUUUCUGCGGCUGAGAUCCUCUUUCUCAGUUAUAACAGUAUCUAUUCUACCAGACUGGCUCUCACUUAUUUCCUUGGAAAUGGGAGCAUCUUCAGUGUCUGCAGCAAUCUGGAUCACAGUGUCGUUUGGAUGGUAGUCUCCUUUCUUCUCCACGAGGUUCAGGUCUUCUCCAAUUUCCAUUUCCACUUAGCUACUUCUGUUGACAGGAAAAUGGUCCGACGUUUUUACUACUAAUACACGUUCUGUGUUUCUCUUAUGAAACAAGCAUGGAAUGACCAAUCUAGUUAAAUGAAAAAACACCACUGUGAAUAUCAUGUUGCUUGGAACACAAAGAAGUAAUGGCAUACUUUGAGAAUAAGAUUAACACAUGUGUACAUGGACUUAAUUAAUUAAUACAAAUAACUUGAUAUGUCAUAACUCACUACAAAGUUUAUAAUGCCAAUUGAUGUGACACGUGAGGUGAUUCUAUUAUAAACCAGAGAAUGUCAAGUGCUUGCUAAUCAUUUUAUUCCUGUUAAACGAUGGUUCUUAUGAGAUGAGAUUUUGAUUUAUUUAUAUGUGUAGCAUUACCCUAAAUAGAAUUAUUGCUCGCGGUGGUAAUUUUUUUAUAAUCAUUUGGGCAAUUAUUUGGGUAGUUUUGGUUAUAUUCUUGGCCAUCACACUACUUUUUUUGCUAAAUUUAUGGCUGAUAUCCUUGCCAAGGAGACGGCCUAUGAUAAGGGUUCGAUACAGCUUCGGUUAGAAAUUAAUUCUAUGCAUGUCAUUCAAUUCCUUAGCAGUGUUGGUUCAUUUCCUUUCUGGAUGCUUCGCAAUCUGUGGCUGAAUUGUUAGUCUCAGUUAUCUAGAAUGUCCUUGAGAAUCACAGUGCUACCGACUGCUUCGUCAAUCUUAGUUUGCAGUGUUCUGAUAUCACUUGGUGGCUGGACCCCCUUUCAGAGAUUCGUGGCUUUUAUCUCUAUUGAUGCUAAUGGUUUUUGGAGGUAUCCUUCAGUUAGAUUGUUGUGCUUGUUUAUUUAUCAUUUUUUAGUUAUGCUUUGUAUAAAUUAUUCUCCUAUAUUUAUUCUAAGAAAUAAGAUCCAUUAUAUCUUCUUAAUUUGUUCUUAAAUUUUAUUACGCUCUCUUUUUACUUUUUAAUAAAUACCUCGCUUUGACGAGGCCGAAUUAUUCCAAAAAAAAAAAAAAAGGAAAGAAAGAAAGAUAAAUAUGUAAUCAUUAUGUUGGGGAUCUUGUAAAAACAACUGACAAAAUAUAUCCGUACUUGAAUAACACAAAUAUUCAGGGAUAUAGAUGAUAAAAUCAUUUUUAAAACUUUAUUAGAAUCUGGAAAACCAGGGUGCUUCAAUAAUUCACAGCUGGGACCGAGUGCCAGGCUGCCAACUCUUGGAUAUUUCUACACUACAUAUCCGAAACCAAAAAGGAAAAUCAGCUAGUAAAGCGAAAUUACGCCUUUAUCAAAACAACUGGCUGGAAAUUCAAGAAUAAUAAUUGAUGGGGUCAUCGCAGUCGUGGACACUCUUUUUGAUUUUGUGUUAUCUUAUUUUUGUUCUAUGCAUAACUUUAUAAAAUAAAAUAAAAAAAUUCUUUUCACCUGAGUCAUACACGGGGACGUAGCCAGCAUGGACCAGCUGAGGCAUGGGCCCAGCUGGCUUUUAAAUUUUUUUUUAUGAUUAUAUUAAAAAUAUAUAUUUUAUUUGUUAUUUAUAAAAAUACCCUAGCUGAAUUGCCAAACUAUCAAAGUGUCCCAAGUAAUUUUAAAAUAUUUCAUACUGCCCCUAAUUUAAAUGUCUAAUUCUAAUGUAUUUGAUUAGUUAUUAAAAUUUCAUGAAACUUGAAUCAAGACACAAGAGAAGAAAUAUUAAAAUAAAAAAAUUAUAAUAAAACGUUAGUAUGAUGGACCUGCCUUUAUCUAACAAAACCAAUUAAAAAAAUCCACACUUUACUUUACUCUUUCCAGGGAAUGCGGGCUGGCCAGACUCCAUAGCAAAUUAGCGGUGCGUGAGUGCGUGUGCGUGGAUUUCUAUUCACAAAUCGAAGGCACUUUCCUUCAUUUAUGCAGACUUUCGAGUUUCAACUUAAAAUUGUAAGUUUAUUAAUUCAAAUUUUUAAUUAUUCGUUGAUCCUUUUUUUUUUCAUUUUAGAUCCCUAAUUUUAUCACAUAUUCAUGUUUGAUUUGUGUGUUGCCAUAUAUGAGUAUUUUUUGCCAUUAUUAAAAGAUUUGAGAACAAAUUAAGUUAUUAAGAACAGUACACCACCCAUAAUAUUUUAUCUAUUAUGUAAUUUUCAUGUAAAUCUUCUUAUUUAUGUUGAAAAUUUUCUUUCAACAAUAAAUAUCAUACUGUUGGCAUAUUUUAAUAGCGGCCCAUGUGCCACAUUAUUAAGUGAUGGUUGUCGAAGCCAGCAAAAACAAAUACAUACUCUAAAUAAAUUGUGCAUAGUGAUUGAGCAGUGUCGUAUCCACAGAGAUCGGUAAUUAUUUAAAUCCUUUUAAAAUGUAAAAUGCAAAAUUGGGGGAUUGUUGACAAUAAUAAAAAUUAAAUUAAACUAACAAGAAUGCAAAUUAAAAUUGCAAUUCAAAUUGGGAAAAGUUUUGGUUGAAGGAAUUAACUCAGCUUGAUUCGACUACUGAUCAUUGAUUCAAAUAUAAAUCAUUACUACUUAUGAAUAGACCGAUUAUAGCUACCAAGACCCUCUAAUAGUCAAUCUCUCCUUAACUAGUCGAUAACUAAGGUACGACCAUUGGUUAUGUCCCUAAUCAAUAAACAACCCUAGAUACGAUCAUAGGGUUUAAUCAAUUGACAACCUGAAAAAUUAGAGAGACCCAAAUCCUAAUCAACAAACGCAUACGAUAAUUCAUUUAAAUUAGAUUGUUUAUUCUCAUAACACAACGCACUGCUAUGCUAUUUGUCACAAACAUUAAAAUCUUCAUACGAUAAAUCUUUUAAUUGACAAUAGAUUAAGUUGAUAAUUAAAUAGUGGCCAAUUAUCUAAUUAACAAAUAUAAUCAUGACAAUAAUUUAGAGAAUAAACAAAUACCCAAAAAAGUAAUAAAACAAUUAAAGCAUAAGAAAGAUUUCACAGUAAUGACGAAUCAAAGCUUUAUUAACCUUCAACCAGAAUAAUAGGUUUAGUUCUUCAUAGAGAGAAGAGAAAAAUUUAGAUCUAGGGUUUCUUUUUUUCUUUAAAAAUCUCCUCCUUUUUGUUUUUCACGUCUCUCCCCUCUUCUAGAGUUUCUCCAAAAAUAAAAUACUAAUAUUUAAAAUAUUAUCUAAAUAUUAAAUUCAAAAUUACAAAAAUAACCAAAAAGAUAAAACACGUUAAAAUAAAAAAUGCAGGUCUUUAGUUGAUAGCACGAGCCCACGCCUUAUCAACAAAAUUCUUCUAAAGCUCAUAAUUUCUCCAGGAAAACAAUCAUCCGCAAACAUCAUCUUGUAGCUUAAUUUUAGCACCAAUCAAUAGAAUUGCACCUACAAAAAUAAAACACAAGUAAAUCACUAUUAUUAAGUGCAAAACAUCGAUAUUAAAGGAAGUAAACAAUGCAAAGCUAGUGCAUAAAUUGCACUCUAACAUUGAGUGAGUCAUAAUUAGGGUUUAAAUAAUAAAUAAAUAAUAGAUUGAAAUCCUAUUAGUCAAUUAGGGAAAAAAAAAAAGAGUGGGCACUCUCACAUUUUUUUAUACGAACACGCUUUUAAAUCGUGCAGUUUAAGCGAGUUAUUUUUUAAUGAACUAUAAAGUCAUGCAGUUUAAGAGAGUUAAAAAUCUAACUCUCAUAAACCCUAUGGUCUAAAAGCAUGUCCAUAUGAAAAAAUGAAGGUGUCCGCAUUAAAAAAAGACUAAUAUAUAAUCAUUCUCAGGUGCAGGCAUUCCUUUUUUUUUUUUUUUUAUACAUACUCUUAAACCAUGCGAUUUAAGAGAGCUAUUUUUGAAUGAAUUAUAUUGUCAUAUAGUUUAAGAGUUUUAAAAACUAACUCUCUUAAACCACAUGAUUUUAAAAUAUUUCGUAUAAAAAAAUGAGGGUACAUGUUAGAGAAAAACUAUAUUAUUAAUUCAUGAAAGUGUGGUGGGAUCUAUCAUUUUUUUUUUCAAUCUUUUUGGUUUUGUGUUUGAUUUUGUCUUUUUUUCCUCCGGCCUGUUUAAUUUGUUUGACAUGCUACUAUGAAUUUUACAACAAUUUCGGCUUUUUCUAAAUAUUUUGCUACACUGAUAUAUAUUAUAGAAUUGCUCGAAUUCAUCUUAUAUUUUUAUUAGUAUGACAGUACCCCGUUAGAAUAAUUGACUAAAGAGUGAAGAUAUAGUUUGAGUGAUCCACAUGUUGAAAUUCGAAAUUUUCUUGCUCAAAAUGCUAAUGCUUUUCUAAAAUAUAAAUUCAAUUAGACAUGCUAUACGGUUUCUCUAUCUUUUAUUUUUUAGCGGCUCUUUUUGUAAUUAGACAUAUUAUGAUUCCUAUAAUGAGUACGAUUCACUAUGUCCCCUAAUUUCUCUCUUAUUGUUUCAUUUUCUUUUAGGAUCCCCCUAAAUUAUAUUUUAUGUAUUUUACACCCACUCACACGAAUAGUAAGUGGUGUGGGGCUCACUCACUAUUCAUGUGAGUGGGUGUAAGGUAUAUGAAAUGUAACUUAGAGUUUGUUUUUCUUUUAUUAUUAAUAAAUACCUCCUUUGAGAGGCCCGCUUACUUUGAAAAAAAAAAAACCUUUAUUGUGAUGAGUAAUGCACAGGAACACCUGCAAGAAUUUUAUCAUUUUCUUAUUGAAGUACGGCAAUAAUUUAAAUUCAAGUCCCUUGCCUUGGCGGUCUGACUGAGGGUGGGAAAAUAUAAUUUAUAAUUAAUUUAGUUAGAUAUGCAUGAGAGAUAGCAAUGGUCUAGGAUUGUCUAAGAUCUUAAUUCCGAUUACGUAACUAUAGGAUAUAAAUAUGGAUCAUAUUCUUUCCUAUUUAGACUCCCGUGUUCGGACUACGUGUUCGGAGUUCGGACUUAAUCUCGUGUUGUACGAAAAUAUAUAAUUCUUAAGCUAAGCUAAAUAUAAUAUUAGCCAAACUAUUUGUAGAGCUUGAAACGCACUAAUAUUAUCAGCCAAACCAUCAGUUACAGAGUUGUCCUCAAGAUAAAUAUGAGAAUAGUGAAACACCACUUUUCGAAUUUAUUAGUUAAUUGUAAGCGAUUCGGACAAUCUGACGCUGGAAUUUUGAACUCUCCAAACAAGCCAAAGUUAUAGUCUACAAACAUUCUUUCCAGCCUAUAUAUAUGUAUAUGAUUAAUCGUUUUCAAGUACAGUCCUCAUUUUUUUUUCCAUGUAGACAUAUCGUUAAAUCAUGCAAUUUAAUAAAGUCAGUGCAGAUACGUUAUUAAAACCACACGGUUUAAUAUCGUGUCUCCAUUAAAAAAAAAAAAAAAGAGUGCCUACUCCUAAAAACAAUUAAUCAAUAUAUGUGAUUAUCUAGAGAUAUAAGAAAGGGAUGCUCAAGUAAAGGAGAAAGAAAUCCCAUCUGACUCACUGUAUUGAGCAGUAAAAAAAUAAAUAAUUAAUUAAAUUUAUAACCUGCUUAGUUAUGAAAAGAAAAACAAUUUCAAAUAGUUAAUUAAAAAUGUAAUUAGCAUGUGGACCGCGUAGGACUUAGAAAAUGGAAUUUAAUUAAUCAUAUUUUUUUAAUGAUAAAAAAAAAAUUCAUAUUUAACACGUAAAAAAUCCUUAAGAGACGAGAUCAUAAUUUAGGAAAAAAUAAAUAAAUAAUUCUAUGAAAACAUUUUAAUAAUUGUCUGAACCGAAAUUUGACCUGUCUUGGUAUAUACAAUAUGCAAACAGGCUAAACUCGAGUGCUGUAUUUAGCGCAUUCUAAUUUACCCGAUUAUUAGAGUUAUGUUUAAAUAUAUUAAAAUUCCCUGUAAAAGAAUGUUAGAUAUUAAGAUAUAUUAAGUUUCUUAUGUUUCACAUUCAUCAUAAUCAAUUUCAACGUAUCCAUAUUUGUCUCUGAGUCGCAGACAGAAUAAUUCCUCGUACAAUAAACAUUACAAAUAACUUAAUUAUUAAAAAAAUGAUAAAAUAAGUAGCACAUGGGCAGCUACUUCAUUCCCCGGUAGUGGGUUGUUGACUUGGUGUUUUCAAUAUUAAAGGAGAGGGCACUUUUAUCGGAUAUUCCACAUGCUCUUCCUACUCGGUAUGGCUCCCAUUUGUGGAAAUCUGUGGGUCGAGUUUGGGAUUAUGCUAAGCGUGGAUUACGCUGGAAUGUUGGUAAUGGACUGAAAGUUAAAUUUUGGUGGGACUGUUGGGCAACGACACCUCAGCGUCUUGCGGCUUUAGUCUUACAGCUGAUACCUCCAGACUUUGGGAUUUGUAUGUUGCUGAUUUUGUGUCUACAGAUGGCUCUUGGAAUUGGCCAAAGUUCAGUCAUCUCUUGCCCCAUCAUGCAGUGAUGCGAAUUGCGUCAAUCCACCCCCCAUCAGCUCGCAAUGGUGCUGAUCAAGUUUACUGGGCAGCACCUUCACAAGGAAAUUUCACGGUUAAAUCAGCAUAUGACAGUUUGGAUCAGUCUCAUGUGCAGGAAAGGGAUAAUUACUGGCGGUUAGCUUGGUCAUGGAAGGGUCCGCAGAGUAUCAAGAUCUUCAUUUGGCUGGUGCUUCACAAUCGGUUGAAGACUCGGGCAGAACUAGGAUCACGUCACUUGCACAUUGAUCCAUCUUGUGAGAGGUGUGGUGCUGGUUUGGAGAGUACGAUUCAUGUACUUCGAGACUGUCCUUAUUCGAGAGCGAUUUGGCUACGGUUUCUUCGAGGCAACAACCAACAUCAUUUCUUUGAGACUAACCUGCAGACUGGAUGUCAGAGAAUUUGCAGACUUCUAACACUUUCCUAGGUAGUAAACUUUGGCGAGUCACCUUUGGCGUUGCUAUUUGGCGGCUUUGGUUUUGGCGAAAUCGGUUUAUUUUCACCAAGGAUUAUUGGGAGAGUAAUAAUAUAGCAGUGGACAUAAAAGUCGGGGCUGCUGAAAUUCAAAGAUGUAAUUCAUUCCCUCUUGCUGCUGACAUGGCCCGUAUUGAAAAGUGGAUUCGUUGGAUUGCUCCCACUUGGCCUUGGGUUAAGUUAAAUACUGACGGUGCCAUGGAAUCUUCAGGCCGUGCAGGAGCUGGUGGGUUAAUUCGUGACUACAGAGGAGUUUGGCAAAUAGGAUAUAGUGCUAACUUAGGCGUUUGCUCAGUAACAUCUGCUGAACUCUGGGGUUUAUUUCAUGGAUUAUCUAUAGCUUGGCUAUAUGGUUUUCGUAGGGUGAUAGUGGAAGUGGACAGCAAGUGUGUCUUGCAGUUAGUCUCUCCUUCAAGCCCCAUCAUCAAUGAGCAUUUUUCUCUCAUUCAAGCCAUCCAAGAGCUUCUCCGUCGUGAUUGGUUCAUACAAGUGAAACAUAUCUAUUGGGAAGCAAAUAAAGCAACAUAUUUCCUUACUACUUAUAGCUUUUCUUUUCCCCUGGGUUUACAUUGCUUUCAGUCCAUCCCUUUAGAUAUGUUUAGCAUUUUAAACAAUGAUGUUUCAGGGGUUGCACACUCCCGCUUAGUGUUGUUUUAGCUCUUUUAAGAGCCCUUUAUUGAUAAAAAAAAAAGGAGAGGACACUUUUUUUUUAAAUAUUGAUAUAUUAUAAUCAGAAUUCUACUGAUAUUUACAACUAAAUAACAAUCGAGACUCUUCUUCAUGAUUUUAGUAUGGUACAGGUCAUUGGAAAAUCUAUUCUACCCUCAAAGCAGAGAAUCAAAUAAACUUCUAUCAUAAAGAGGGUUGAGUCCCACCAAUGGGUGGGACUCGAACUGAUGCGCCCAAAAUUAUUGGGCGCAUGAGUUCCCAAUGGGCUACAGGCCCAUUGACCAAAGGAGACGACACUUUGAUUUCUUAUGUACUCAAUAUUUAAUUUCCCUCUUCUGUAAACAUGGGUUGAUAAAUAUAUAUCCACAAACACUAUAUAUCUCUUAGGUAUCAAGUGCAAGUCGCGCUUCUGUUUUAUGCAAAUUUCUAAUUUUUUUCGACAGACCUCUGUGUUGUGCUUUACAUUUAUAGACUCAAACUCCCAUUAGAUUUUAGAUAAUAAUCUAGUUGUAGAUUUUAACAACUUGAAGAAAAAUAACAUAAUAAUUCUUAAAAAUGUCAUAUCAUAUAUCAUAUUUCUUAGGAUAUUAAGAGUACUAUAUUGCUUUAUAACUUUGUAAAUAUGACAUUACUGAUAUUAGUUAAGUUUUUGUUGCGAUGAUAGCAUGUUACAUAAUGCUAAAAUUAAUGAAUCUCAUCGUAAUCUGUCACAAAUUGCCAAAUUAUGUCCGUACUUGAGAAGUCAUAAAGAUAAUUUAGAUGUUAUUACGCCAUAAGAUGAGAAUGCCAACUUUGACCUAUAUGAUCACGUUUUUGCAUGUAUAUGCGUCAGGCUAAAAUAAUUUUUUCUAUGAUUUCGUUAAGAUUUCACAGCAAAGCAAUAUCAAAUAACCAAAACCCACGCUGCAAUAAUUGACAAAGUUGUCAAUAAUUGAAUUGACCUUAUAUCAAAUACGAUGUUUGUUGCUUCAUAAUUCUACGUAAGCACUUGAAUCAUAUGAACUUUUGCAUCAACACUUCAAUUUUCCCCUCAAAUUGGGAUUAAGUCAUUAAUCAAUGGCGGCCUAUCCAAUCUCUUACUCCUUUUCUCAUUUUGUUUUGGCAAUCUCAUUUUUCGUUAUUUGUCUCUCUAGUAUCUCUUCAACAGAUGCUCAAAAUGGAGGUUUUAGUCUUGAAUUAAUUUAUCGCGACUCUCUAAAGUCACCCUUAUUCAACCCCAGUGAAACUCGAUUCGAACGAAUUACAAAUUCUCUACGUCGCUUUUUUAAUCAUGCUAAGCUCAUUGAUUCAAUCUUUGCAUCUCCGUCUUCUGCUCAAGCUGAUAUAAUCCCCAACGAGGUUGAGUAUCAUAUGAAAAUAGCAAUUGGAACACCACCGGUUGAGAUUCUAGCUGUUGCUGAUACGGGUAGUGAUCUCAUUUGGACACAAUGCCAGCCGUGUUUCCUUUGUUACAAGCAAGAAGCUUCUCUUUUUAACCCUUUCAAGUCAUCCACUUAUUAAAUGUUCCUUGCUUGUUCUCCAAGCAAUGUGCAUCAAUGAAGGGUACUCCUUGCUUCUUUUUGGGUGGUGGAAACUGUGUGUAUUCAGUUUCAUACGGGGAUAAAUCCUACUCAAACGGUAACCUUGCGAUUGAUACUAUCACUUUAGGUUCAGUUAGCGGCCGACCUGUCGUUUUGCCCAAAACCAUUAUUGGUUGUGGACAUAACAAUAGAGGGACCUUUAGCUCUAAAGCUGCUGGAAUACUUGGCCUUGGAGGGGGGCAAUGUUUCCCUUGUUAGCCAAAUGGGUCCUUCAUUGGGCGGAAAAUUCUCGUAUUGCAUGGUACCCUUAUCAUUACUUGAGGCUGCAAAAUCAACCAAAAUCAAUUUUGGUACCAAUGGAGUUGUUUCAUGUUCUGGGGUGAUUUCUACUCCCUUGGUUGCGAGAAAUUCUAAAACCUUCUACUUUCUUACUCUUGAAGCAAUCAGUGUAGGAAACCAAAGAAUCGAGGUACUUGAUAGCUCUUCUUCAGGAACUAAAGAGGGCAAUGCUAUUAUUGAUUCAGGUACUUGAUUGACACUUUUGCCACAAAUGUUUAGCUCAAAAUUAGUGUCAGUAGUGUCAAGUUUGAUCAAUGCAGCAGCCAUUAAAGAUCCUAACGGGUUGCUAGAUCUUUGCUACAAUUUUUCAUCUGAUUUUAAUAUUCCAGAGAUCACUGUACAUUUACUGGUGCAUAUGUAACGUUAAGUCCUUUAAUUGAACACCUGCAUUAGGGUUAGCAAAGAACUUGUUUGCUUAAUAUUUAAAGGAUUUGAUCAAGGUCUUGCUAUAUACGGUAAGUUGAUGCAGAUGAAUUUCUUGGUUGGCUAUGACACUGAAAAGCGGACGGUGUCGUUUAAGCAAACUGAUUGCACCAACCGAUGAUAUGAAUCCCUUUUCAAUUAUUUACAAAACAAUAUUGACUUGUCAUCUUGUAAUUUCUAUUUUACAUAUGUGUUUAAUUGCUUCAUUAUGUAAUUGAAAUUUGAAACCUUUCAAUAAGGCUCGUUUUCAAAGUAGCUCCUUAUAGAUUACACAAGCACGUGCCCUACCUUUUGUUUUUUUUAAUAUUCAACGUGUUUGUCAAAUUUGACCUUAGAGAUAUAUGUUAAUGUUUAAUUUAUGUAGUCCGUAAUGACGUGAUUAAUUAACUAAUAUAGUGUAAAAUAAGGACAUCACAUGUUGAACCCCACACAUUAUUUUUAUCAUCAUCAAUUUUCAAACCAAUUUCCCCAGGCAAUAUUGCAAGCUUUAUGGAGAGAUUUAGACACUGUUUCUAUCUAUCUUCAAAUGCAUAUCACAUGCAUAUUUAUUAAGUCUAAAAGAAUUACAUAACGAAAAAAAAAAACAUUGACUAAUUUAAUUUUCGCUGUGGACAGCAUUCUUCAUCGUUAGCCCGGCUGAAUAAUUUGGCUAACUAUUAUUCAGCUAACUAGUAACUACAUGCAAAUGCAAUUAUAGCUAGAUGAUUAAGCUGACAGUCUAUGGAUGUGCUUAAUUUACUGUAACAUCUGACAUCUCAAAUUGUUUUCUAGUCCAACUAGAGUUUCUUUUAAUUUUUAUAUAUUUAGUUUCAAGACAGUGUCCAUUAUGAUGGAAAUUAACUCACAAAUGUAGAAUAUUUUCCCUUACCAUAAAACUAUUGAGUUUUUCCCCUUGUGACAAAUUCUUUUACUCCCCUUUCCAGAAUUCUAAUUUAGGUUCUCUUGAGGACUAGAAUUUUCAUUAUUUCAGAUAAAUACCAUUCAGCAUAUACGGAAAUAUAACUGCUACCAGUAAUUUUAAGGUGGUAAUGAAAUCAGUUAUGGGAAAAGAAAAUCAUUUUCGAUUGUUCUUCGAACGAAAGCGGAGGAAGAAAUUGUAAUUGAGUUUGCCACAACAUUUUUAUUUUUUUGCCAUCUGUGUUUAACACAAAAUUGCUUUCAGAGUUGUUCCGUUUGAUUGAACGACCCCCAAUUGAUGACCUUAUUCAUCGAUUUAAACUUAAUUUGUUACAACAAUAGUACCGCUUAUGAUUUACCCGAAAUCACGGUACAUUUCAGCCGGACAGAUGUGAAGUUGAGUACUUUGAACUUUUACUUCAAUACUAAGGUGGACGUUGCAUGCUUCAAUCUUGAGUCAUAGGAAAACUGCUCUUUUAUAUAUAUAUAUAUAUAUUAGUAAUUUUUUAGCCAGUAAUCAUAAAGUGUGGGAAACGUCUGGAAAAACUUAAAAACUGCGGGAUUUUAAAAGCUUAAAACUUAAAGCGGUUAAACCGUACGGUUGAUACAUUUUCCUGAAUGUUCCUGCACUUUAAAAUUCUGAAUUGAGACAUUUCUCAUAUAUAUAUAUAUAUAAACUUUACCAUCAGAAUACUGAGUCACAUUUUGCAACUCUAUAUUAGGCUCAAGUUGUUUCGGAAUCGCUGGUGGAGCGGCUCCUUCAAGAAUCCAUUCCUCUAGAAGAUUGACGUCUUUCCAUUGGAUUGGUUUUGGAAUGACAGUGUUGGCUCUAGACAAGUCAGUCUGCAAGAGAAGAGUCUCAUCUCUUUUUGACUGGAAUUUAUGUUGUGUAUUGAACGCAGAGAUCAUGGCCUUAUAGGAAAUCUUAAAAAUCAAGGCAACUGGAACUGAUCCCUUAAUCAUAUAAUAAUUAUGUGUUUUAAUUUGUAAAAUCAUGCUUUUCAAAAUGUUUUUGUCUUUAAGAGAAAUUGUGAUGUUUGGGUAACAAUCAAAGGAAAUUGGACCUUUAUAGAGACUGGAUUCAAUGCUACUUAGCAAUGAAUCAUCAAAAGAGAUAAAUCGCUCAUCUCUUAUGACAGCGAGGAUGGAAGUAUCAAGGCCCUCUUUGGUCAAAGGUUUUAUUCCAACUUGAAUUAAACCAAUAUGAAUUUAAUUAAAAUUCUUUUCUCUUAACUUCUUUAAAGACUUUUCUGAAAACAAAUGAAUUGUUUCGAAUGGCUCAGAAAGAGUUAUAUCACGUUCUUCGGUUUUUAUAACAUAAUCAUUUUUUAGAAAAUCAAGCUUUUUUGUUUUGUAAAUCUUUUCUUUGAAAAUUUUUGGAAGUUCUCAACAAUCAAUUGCUUUAUCAAAGUUCUCAAUAAUGAAUUCUUCUGAACUCACAACAUGCUUUGAAUCACUAGUCUUCCCGGACAAAGAACUAGAAAAGGACGAUAUUCUACAGAGUAGAGGAUCCAUGGGUAAAGACCUAUGAACUAUUUAUGGUCUUGUCAGAAUGGCUACUCUUGUUAGAGUAGAGGAUCCAUGGGUAUAUAUAUAUAUAUAUAUUUCCUUCUGGUAUCAGAGCCAGGGAGAGGACAGUGUUAUAUAGUUUAGAGAUCUCGUGUAUAAAAACUUGUGUGUUAUUUUGAAAUCUUGUUUGUGUGAUGAAUUUCUUACUGGUAGUAAGUCCCGUUUUAGGAUAAGAUUUCCGUUUAGGGCAGUAAAACCAUACCUGUAGCCAUUCUGACAAGACCAUAAAUAGUUCAUAGGUCUUUACUUAUGGAUCCUCUACUCUGUAGAACAUCGUCCUUUUCUAGUUCUUCGUUCGGGAAGACUAGUGAUUCAAAGCAUGUUGUGAGUUUAGAAGAAUUCAUUAUUGAGAACUUUGAUAAAGCAAUUGAUUGUUGAGAACUUCCAAAAAUUUUCAAAGAAAAGAUUUACAAAACAAAAAAGCUUGAUUUUCUAAAAACAAAUUAUGUUAUAAAAACCAAAGAACGUGAUAUAACUCUUUUUGAGCCAUUCGAAACAAUUCAUUUGUUUUCAGAAAAGCUUUUAAAGAAGUUAAGGGAAGAAUUUUAAUUACAUUCGCAUUGGUUUAAUUCAAGUUGGAAUAAAACCUUUGACCAAAGAGGGUCUUGAUACUUCCAUCCUCGCUGUCCUAAGAGAUGGGCGAUUCAUAUCUUUUGAUGAUUCAUUGCUAAAUAGCAUUGAAUCCAGUCUCUGUAAAGGUCCAAUUUCCUUUGAUUGUUACCCAAACAUCACAAUUUCUCUUAAAGACAAAAACAUUUUGAAAAGCAUGAUUUUACGAAUUAAAACACAUAAUUAUAAUAUGAUUAAGGGAUCAGUUCCAGUUGCCUUGAUUUUUAAGAUUUCCUAUAAGGCCAUGAUCUCUGUGUUCAGUACACAACAUAAAUUCCAGUAAAAAAGAGAUGAGACUCUUCUCUUAUAGACUGACUUGUCUAGAGCCAACACUGUCAUUCCAAAACCAAUCCAAUGGAAAGACGUCAAUCUUCCAGAGGAAUGGAUUCUUGAAGGAGCCGCUCCACCAGCGAUUCCGAAACAACUUGAGCCUAAUACAGAGUUGUAAAAUGUGACUCAGUAUUCUGAUGGUAAAGUUAAACUGUCUUUCAGGAGAUCUACUUCAUCCAGAUUUUCUAAUAAAGAGUCGUGCUCAAGCAUUCCUUCACUAGAAAGGAAAUUUACAAAAAUUCCUUCUGUUAUAAAUCUCCCUUACCAGCCAGUAAAGAGUCAACCUAGGUUUUCCACUUCAGAUAUACCUAGUUCCUCUAUACGUUCUGUUGACUAUACCACUAGUGUUCCACGCUUAAUUUAUACUAGUAGUCAGCAUGAACAAAGACAGGAAGAGAAGGAACUUUCUCCUCCAACUUCCCCUACUUUUUCUGUCGUCACAGAAAAUGUUAUAAAUGUUAUUGAAAAGAGUUUUGAGCUUGAUAAAAAUCUUCUCCAUAAUGAUUUUUAUUCUGAAACAAAUAAAGAAAAAAACAUUGGUUUGUUAAACAUUUUAUUAACCAAAGAAAAGAAAUCCAACAAACUUAUUAUGAAUUUGUAAAUUUACAUCAAGUUCAUAUAUUGUUUUUUGAUUAGUUCGAAAUAUAUUCUUCGGAUAGCAACAUUGAUUAUCCCUUCAAAGAGUCAAACCCUAUUACUAUUAGGAAGAAAGUUCCUGAGUGUAAACUUUCUGAUAGUGAUAGAACCAUAGAAUCUGAGCAUCCACCUCUUCGGAGUUUAAUCGUUGAUCACGGUGAACCUCCUGUCCAAAUUAGAGCCUCACCGUAUAAAAUCCCUAAACCUAAUUAUUCUGAUGCCAAUUUAAGUAGUAUUAUUCAACAGAAUAAUUUAUGUAAUACUAACUUAAAUACUAUAGGAAAGCAGUUGACAAGAAUAGAGAACCAUUUCCAAAAGUCAACUAUAGCUGUUUCUUCCGUUUCCCCUGUUCCUUCAAAAUCGGAUUCUGACAAAAAGCUUAAGGAGCCUAUUUUCAAACCUUUCCAGGUUUCGAAAACUAGUCAAAAGCUUGUUCAAGAAUCAAAAUCAGAUUGUGCUAAAGCCAUUAGAGAACAACUAGAUAGGAUAGAAGCUGCUUCUUCCUCAUCUAGCAAAGUUCAAAUAGCCCCUGAUACUCCCCAAUCUAGUAAGAUUGGAGUAUUAGAACAAGACCAAAUGUCUAUAGCCUCUUCCGAUCUAGAAGCUUUUAAAGAAGAACCUACCCCUAAAGCCAACAAAAUCCAUUGGGAAUUAAUUCUUCCUACUGUCAAGUCUCCACCUGAUUUGGCCAUAGACAAUAGGCCUAGUGCAUUAAACCAAUCACGUUUUAAUGCAUCAUUUGUCUAUGAGUGGAACAUUGACGGUAUGUCUAAAUACAACGUCUUAAGUUUGUUUCAACAGAUGACCAUGGCAGCUAAUGCCUAUAAAACCCAAUCAGGAACUUCUGACAAAGCCAUUGCAGAAAUUCUCAUUGCGGGUUUUACUGGUCAACUUAAAGGUUGGUGGGAUCAUCUUCUCACUAAGCAACAACAAUUGGAUAUCCUUAAUGCCAUCCAAAUAGAUGAGAAUGGAGCCCCCAUUCUUGAUGAGUUUAAUAACCCAAUUCAGGAUGCCGUUGCUACUCUAAUUCUAACCAUAUCCCUCCAUUUCAUAGGUGACCCUUCUCACCUCAGAGACAAAAAUGCUGAGUUACUACAUAAUUUGAGAUGUAGGAAACUUAGUGAAUUCCAGAGCUACAAAACCACCUUCUUUACCAGACUCUUUCUCAGAGAUGAUGCAAAUCAUAUAACCUGGAAAGAAAAAUUCUUAGCAAGAUUACCUACUCUUCUAGGUGAAAAGGUUAGGAAUUCCAUUAAAGCCCUUUACGAUAACCGCAUUUCUUAUGAUGAACUCACUUAUGGUGAGUUAGUCAGUUUCGUCAACAAAGAAGGUUUAAAGAUUUGUCAAGAUUUGAAAUUACAGAAACGACUUAAAUGGGAGCUUAAAAAAUCUAAGCAAGAAUUAGGAAGCUUCUGUAAACAAUUCAAUUAUGACCCCUUUAAAACUUCCAUCUCCAAAGAUUGUAAUGGUGAGUGUUCUUCCAGACCUCACAAGAAAUAUUACAAAUCCAAAAGCCAUAGGAAGCCAUUCCAGAAUUUUAGAAAAUCUUUUUAUAAGAAACCUUCGAGGCCUUAUAAGAAACCUAAUUUCUCUAAAAGGAAAAAUUUUAGAACUAAACCAAAAACUCCUUUAAUUACAAAGAAGCCAUAUGCCAUAAAUGUGGUAUAAAAGGCCAUACUGCGAAAUAUUGCAGAAUGAACAGAAAGCUCCAGGAGCUUGGCCUAGAUGAUGAGAUCCUUUCAUAUAUAUAUAUAUAUGUGCAGGCGAAUUUCAUUUUUGGUUGUACUACAUUGGCGAGAAUCGAGCUCAGAACUUGAGUCGUAGGAAAACUACUCUUACCACUAUAAUUAGACCUUAAUCUCUUGUAGACCGAUUUUUUAAUUAGCUAUGACAUUGAGAAAUAGAAGGUGUCCUUCAAUGAAUUACAAGAUAAUAUGAAAUGAUUCCAGGCAAUGCAUGCUUACAAUUCCCAGCUAUCAACCCUCUCUCUCUUGGUGCUCUGUUUACACACACCCCCUUACAAAGGGAAAAUAAGAAGUAGAUUGCAUAUAUAGCUUAUAAUUAAGUCAGUUACAUAUGCAUUAGAUAGAGAGGCUAUUAGCAAAUCUUGGAUUAGCUGUUCAGUGCAGUUGAUUUGUCCUCAACAAAGAGCAUUCUGCGGAAAGAAGUGACACGAUAAUCACUUUUCAGGUAGAGGAACAGUUGAAGUUGCUGAUACCACAUAGCUGACUUGAACUUCUUGAGGGAGGACAUGAUAAAUUCUUAUAGCAGCUUCUUCAAAUAUUCUUUUUAGUUCUAAUACUAAUUCAGAUCUCCUGUUAAUUUUCUCCUCGUAAUUCUCAAAUAUUAUGAUGUGAGUGAUGUAAAGACCCAUUAUCAUCUUCUCAUCCUUAAUAUGCUUCACUACCACACUGUGGGUUGGACUCCAAUGCCGAGGCUUGCUCUCUAGGUAGCUACAAUAAAUUGAAAAUAAAACUUAAUGUUGUAAACUAUGUGCUAAUUAACGCAUUAUACACUGAAAGGGGACGUACUGGACAAUAUCUCUUGAAGUUUAUCGUGAAAAUAAACUAUGGAAAGCAUUCUAUUGUUGCAAUGCACGCAAUGGACAGAGUUUUUAAUUGAAAGAGUUGACUUACGUCUUUAUGCUAGAUUUUAGAUACGAAAUCUUUUCGAUUGGCGUGAAAACGUCAAUUGCGAACUCCACGGCAUCCCUCAUAUCCACUGUGCUUCUAUAAAAAUUGCUGAUGGGUUUGGUAGCUAGAACUGAAUUUGGAUAAAAUAUUUUCUCGUUGUCAUAUCUCAAAAACGUAGUGGUCAAAAUGUGCAUCUCCUCGACCACCAUCUGUAAUUGAUGUAAAAUGUGUCAAGCAAAUUGACUUGAUCAAUAUUACAAAUUUAAUCACAUGUAUAUACAUUAGAAAGGUGAUUGAGUAAUUACUACCUGUACUCCAUCAAUGACGCAGCGAUCACCAACAUCAAAUGGGUGUGUCACAAAUAAAAAUAUGAUGGCUUCAAAUACGUUCUUGGCAGUGUUACCAAACAAGAACACUGCAAGUACAACUUGGGAUAAAAUAAGUAGAAGAGCUUUAGUGGUUAAUAAACCCACUAUAAGCAGCCACACAAUGAUGAUCAGAACCAUCACAAUCCCCGUAAAAAGUUUGUUCAACUCCUGCAUGGCUUCUUUGGAAUUAUUUAAGUAAUGAGCCAGAGAUGUGCGUUUCUUGUAAACAUUUACCUGCAAACACCAAGUCAUCACAAGAUCAAUGGAUAUAGCCUCCGUUUGGUAUUGAGUUUUUUUUAAUUAUUAUUAUAUCAAAUACAUUUUCGACUAAAGAGUGACCAUUAUAAUGCUUUUUUCUUUACUUUAACACUUUGAUAACUUUUGCUGAAGUUACAAUAUUAAAAUGUUUGGUAAACAUUAUUAGUUGCUGUACCUUAAAGGCUAAAUUGAUUUAAUCAACCACUGUUAUAAUGAAAAACUUACAAUAUCUUUACUAUUUUUGUCAAAAUUAUUAUUUAAAAAUUAUGUUUACUACACAUAUUAAUUUUUAUUUUAUAAUUAUAAUUUUUUUCUACAGUGGCUACAGUUUAAAAGCUAUAACACAUCAAUAUCAAUCAAGGCCAUAGUGUAGUGGGAUUAUGUAUAUUGAACCACAAGAGGCAUUGGUAUUAACACAAGUACAAAGAGUGAAACUCCCUGUUGUUUGACUAAAUAAUCGAAAUCUCUUCAUGUUUUAAAACAUAUCCAAAUUUCUCCACAUGUCAAAUUUUUUUUCUAAUCUUACUAUUUUAUUAUUGAUGGUCAGUUAGACAUUGAAAAUAUAAAUACUUUAACUAAUUAAUUAAUUGAAUAAAUUUUUAAUCAUAAUUAAUUGAAAAUUAAAUUUAAAAUUAUGAAAAAAGCAAGGAAUUGUCAGAAUCUUUAACUAAUUCUGAUAAUUUUUGAGAAUUUACACACACACACACACGUGUGUGUGUGUUAUUUUUAUUGUUUCAAAUACCCUCAACAUACUAUUCUCCACACACAAAAAAGCAUAUUUAUCUUAUGUUGCAUUUAAUUUUUAAUUAAUUCCAAAAAAUUUUAGAAUUAAUUGGAAAUUUAGGACACUUCCUUUACUUUUUCUAAUAAUUUUACAUUUAAUUACUCAAUUAAUUAUGAUUAAAAAAAUUACUCAAUUAAUUAAAUAACUAAAGUUGUUCAUAAUCCCAAAAUCAAACAUCCACCAAAGUUAAAAUGGUAAGAUCAGCAAAAAAAUUGUCAUUUAGGAAAGUCAGGAUGCCUCUUAAAACAUUUGGGGAGCUUCGUUUAGCUUAAUCAAACAAAGGAAGGUUUUUGGAAAACUAUAUAUUAAUAUAAUUUUUACAUUGAAAAAAUAAUAAUAUAUAUAUAUAUUCUAUAUUUACUUUGAUAUUAUAUUAAUAGUUAGAGAAAUUAUCUCUGCACCACUUUUUUUUUUGUAAUAUGUAUAUUUAAUCACCUCAAAAUUUUGACAUGUACUUUACACCACCUUUGUUUCUAAAUUUGUAUCAAUUAAUCACUUUGACAUUAAAAAUAACUAUUUUACCCCUAAAUGACUUAAAAGAGUAUUUUAUUCCCUAAAAUUUUAAAAAUAUAUAUAAUUAGAAGAAUACCUCUAAAUUUAAUAAAACAAAUAAAUCUCAAAAUCUAAAAUGAUAAUUUUUAAAUGAAAUUAUAAUUAUAAAAAGUUAACAUCUCAUCUUAUGAUUAUAAUUUUUUUAUUAGGAAAAUAAUCAUUGCACCACCUUUAUUUUGCCUUAUAUUUAUCCAACCAUUACAAAAUUCUAACAUGUACUUUUCACCAUCUUUCUUUUCACAUUUGUUUCAACUAGCCACUUUUGCAUUAACACUAUUAAAUAAAUUUUAAAAAAUGAUAAUUUUACCCUCAAAUAAAUUAAGAGACCAUUUUAUUUUAUAAAAAUUUUAAAAAAUAAAAAAUUAUAAUGAUAAAAAAUCCCAANNNNNNNNNNNNNNNNNGAUGUACGGUACAGCAGAUAUUAUAAUUUUUAAUAAAAAUAAUUAUUAAAAUUUUGUAAAAUCUAAAUUUAGUAAAAAUCAGUUGAGCACCUCUAUUUGAGAUUUAUUUUUAAUUAAAUUUAGGGAUAUUUUUAUGAUUAUAAUUUUUAAUUUUAAAAGUUUUUAUAAGAUAAAAUAAUCUUUUAAUUUAUUUGGGGGUAAAAUUGUCAUUUUAUUAAAAUUAUUUAAUAGUGUUAAUGCAAAAGUGGCUAGUUGAUACAAAUGUGAAAAGAAAGGUGGUGCAAAGUAUAUGUUAGAAUUUGGUAGUGGUUAGAUGAACAUAAGGCAAAAUAAAGGUGGUGUAAUGAUAAUUGCCCUUUUUAUUAUAAUUUCAUUUAAUUUUUCUAAUUAAACUAAGUAUAGAAAAGUUCACAAAAAAUAACGUAAAGAGAAAAGCUCCCAAUAAUUAUUGUAAACUUCCCUAUAAUUAAUAUUAAGAAAAUUUUCUGUAAAAUUAAAUGAAAUUAUAAUUACAAAAAUUAACAUGAUAAUUUUUAAAUGAAAUUAUAAUUAUAAAAAAUUAACAUAUUGCAUUUGAGAUUUAUUUAUUUAUUUUAUUAAAUUUAGUGGUAUUCAUGUAAUUAUAAAAAUUUAAAAUUUUUUAGAAUAAAAUAGUCUUUUAAUUUAUUUAGAGAUAAAAAUGUUAUUUUUUAGUAUUAAAGUGGUUUAUUGAUAUAAACUUAAAAACAAAAGUGGUGCAAAGUACAUGUUAAAAUUUUGAGGUGGUUAGGAGUACAUGUGAUAAAACAAAGGUGGUGCAGAGAUAAUUUUCCUAAUAGUUAUUAAAAGAAUCGCAAUAUUAGAAAUUACUUUUUGUAAAUUAGUUAUAGCUGAAUAAUUUUAAAAAUAAAAAAAGGUCUUGCACAAAUUACAUGAGAAUUAGGAACUUACCACCCAGUUGCUAAAAUCUGACCUUCUGAUCCUUCCAGUUUCCACCACGUCCAAUUUCUGCAUUAUUACGUCCACUUCUUUCUUUAUAAAGAACCGCAAGAGGUCUUCCUCCUCUAUAUAUCUGGACAUUUAAUUUUCAACAUAGAACAACAGUGAGAGAAAAUAGUUCCGGAAGUAAAUUAAAAAACAUUCAUAUUAGAUGGAAAUUUUAAAAAUCAAGUAUCCGCACUUGCUACCAGGUUGGGCAACAUUCCGGAAAAUCCAAUAAGCAUCAGCCUUUGCUUCCCAUUCGCUUUCAAUAUUCUUGUUGUAGUCACCAUGAAGUUCAUCAUUCUCAUAGUCAUCAAGUUCAUUUGAGACAAUGGACAGCUUUGUACUGCUAAUGUGAUUUAUUAACUUUUCCAUGGUCCAUGCAGAAAUUUUCUUCAUCUUUUUACGCUUUCCACUAACAUGGUGAAUCACCUCCUCUUUCUCCUUUUGAUUUCCAGUUUCAUUCUUCAUACUCAUGCCGCCUACUAUUUCACUGAACUCUAUGAGUGGUGGACCCGAACUAGUGGAAAUAACAUAUUCAUCAAAUAUGGCUUCUUGAAUCUGGUUGAAGAAUCUCUUUGAUAAUCUUGAAGCAACCAGUAACUGAAAUGAGUAAGUCUUAACCAUCCACAGAACAGUCCCAACAAGACAAGCAACGAGACCUCUUGUAAUAUAGUUUAUAAUCUUUUUAGUCACUUUUGGUCUCUCCACUCCACGGUCGUCAAACAAUAAACACCAAGACAACAGAACCAAAACAAACCAGAUAAAGGCCCUAACGCUCCUCCUCAACCCAUCCACGUAAUACAGAACCAUAAGCUUUAGCUUGAAGUUUCUUUUGAUCAAGCAAGUCAAAGCAAUCAUCAACCAUUUAGUCACCAAUCGACCACAAAAGAUUACCAAUACCAACACACACCAUUUCCACAAUUUUAACUCCCAUAUCAAAUGGUUUUCCAAUUUGUUCACGGUUAAGCUACCAAUUAACAACCCCAUUACCCAAACAAAUGCAAUCAACUCAAUCACCAUCAAAAUUUUCUUUAUCUUACCACCCUUUCUAUGCUCGUUUUCCUUCUGCUUCUUCUUCUUCUCAUUGCGUCCUGGAUUCACCAAUCUCGGAGCACGCGGUGGUGAAUUCAUCAACUCUGUAUUUCCUUCAACUAAUUUGGCAUCAAUUAGCUCCCCAAAUCUUGAGACCGGUUUUCUCCGAGUUAAAGACUGGCCUUGACUGCUUGCUGUCUCCGUAGGAGGCUUAUCUAGAGAAGCAGAGCCUGCAGCUACUAAAAGCUGGUUUCUGUGGCUGCAAUCCUCUUCCUCUGUUAUUUCAGUAUUUAUUGGAUCAGACUGGGAGUGGGUCUCACUUAUAUCCUUGGAAACGGGAGCCUCUUCUGUGUCUGCAGCAAUUUGGAUCACGGUGUCGUUAUGGUGACUGCCUCCUUUCUUCUCCACCAGGUUCAGGUCUUUUCCACCUUCCAUUCCCACUUUGCUACUUCUGUUGAAAGGAAAAUAGUCCGACUUGUUUUCUACUAAUUCAGGUUCUGGGUUUCUCUCAUGGAACAAACUUUUAUAAGUAAUAUGAUUGAUUUGUUAUUAAAUAUUUUUAACCGUUGUGUUUUCAUUAUAUAAUGGAAUGACCAUACCUUUAAUCUAGUUAAAUGACACAACACUACUGUGAUACUAAGAACAGAUAAGUAAUGAUAUAUUUUGAGAAUAAGAUUAAGACGUGUGUACAUAGACUAAAAUUAGGGGUUAGUUUAAGAUUACAGUGAUCGAUGAAAUAAGAUAUUUUUACAGUGUAGAUGAAAUAAAUUUUUAAUGAAAUAAUUUUUUUUAAAAAAAAAGAUAGAUUAGUGUUUAAUAAAUUGUGUUAUUAAGCUUGCUGUGAGCUUAAAAAGCAAAAUAUAUGUGUUUAGUAAAUUUUAUUAAAAAAAUAUUAUUUUAUUACAUAUUGACCAGAAUACACAUAAGUUGAAAUUGUCUUAUAUUUAUAUAUUAGGAUUAAUAACAAAGUAAAAUAUAAUUAUCUUUUUGUUAAAAUAUUAAAGUUAGAAUAGGAAUGUGAUAAUUUAUUUAAUAAAUUAUUUAUUAAAAGAAAUUUAUCUACUUUUUAAAAUUACUGUCAAAAUUGAAUAAUCUUUGAAAAAAUUUACCAACUCCUCAAAUGGUUGCCAAUCAUUUUAUUUCUGUUAAGUGGUGAUUCUCAUGAGAUUCAAGUAUUUCAAACUUUUUUACAAGAGUAGCAUUACUCUAAAUAACAUGAUAAUUUUUAAGUUCUUGUUAUAAGCGAAUUCUAGAAUACUUAUGAUGCAUUACAACUAAUUGAUGUAUGCAUGAUAUGUAUAAUUGAAUUUAAUAUAACCACCACAUUUAUAAUAAUUUUUUAAGAUAAAUAAACACAUAUUAUAAUGAUGUUUACUUAUUGUAUGAAUGGUAUUUCUGAUAUAUUCCAGAUUUUUUCCGACCUUAUCAAUCGUGAAGAAAAAGGUAAUCACCAUGUUGAGACCCUGUAAAACAAUUGACAAAAUAUAUCCCUACUUAAAUAAUACAAAAAAAAAUCUGGGAUAUGGGUGACUUUAUACAGAAAAAUAUGGGUGCUUCAAUAAUUCACAACUGGACCCAAGUGCCGGGCUGCCAGCUCUUGGGGCUUUUAGGCUACAUAUCCAAAACUAAAAAGAGAAAAUCAGCCAGCAAAGUGGAAUAAAGCUGUAAAUCCAAGAAUAAAUAAUUGGAGUCGUCAUUUUAGUGGACGCUUUUUUUUUUUUGGGUUUAUCUUACUCCUAUUCUAUGCAUAACUUUAAAAAGGGAAAAAAACACAUCUUAUUUUUUAAAACUAAGUCAUAUAUAUUUAAAAUUAUCUAAGUGCGGAUGUUAUUGAGUGUAAUAGACCAUAUGUCAUGAACUUUUUAGCUAGCGACUUACGACCAAUGAAAUCAUGACAUGUGACGUGUCAUGCAUGCACUUAUCAUGACUCAUAAAUGUAAAAUUCUAAUUAGGUGUGUACUGCCGCAUACUAUAAAGACUGUAUUGUUUUAUCUAUUAGUGUAUUGAAAUAUGUAAUUAUUAGUAUUUUAGUGCUAUCAUAACUUUGUUAAAAUAAAGAAAUCCUUAUUAGAGAAUUAUUCAACAUGAGUUAUAUAUACGAAAAAGUUUCUAUUAAGGGAAUCUCAUAUUUUAUAAAAUUGAAGAAAAUUUUUCUGUUAAGGGAAUCCGUAUUUGAGUUAACUUGAAGAAUGAAGAAGUAGAUUUAUUCAAUUUUAAAUAGGGAGGUAUUGUCAUUGUUUUCAUAAUUUUUUAAUUGAUAAAACCUUCUUUUAUAAUUUUGAUUAUUGAUCAAAUCUCUCUUGUAGAGUCAACUUGGAUUAGAGCAUCAUUUAAUUUCACUACAAAGCGUUAUCAAAAUCUCAUUGAGUUGUUUGAAUUAAAAUGAGAUCAAAUCACACUUUGAUUAGAGUAUUACCUAAUUACAUUGACUUAAUCCCAUAACAAUAUCUACUAUUCAUUUAUCCUAUCAAUUUGCUUCCGCAACCCUGCUGCAGCCACUUAGGUUUGCAGCCACUUAGGUUUGGCCGCCGGUAGCCCUCCCUUCCGAGCCAGUCUCCUUUUACCUUCACUACACUACUAUAGAUACAUAACUUCUUCUUCACUCCUACCUGAACUCCUUCUUCACUCCUAUAGAUAUAUCUAAUUUCUUUCUCGAAUUUGUAGGAAGUGAUGCAUCUUGUGGUUGAGCCAGGGCGUGGUCAAAGGGAAGGUUUGAUUGUCAAGACUUGACAUGCGACUCAAUUGAUGUCAAUCAUCUUGUCUUGAAAAACAAAUGGUUUUUCUUUAACUAAAAUAGGCACAGUCUCAAUUACAUCAUUAGUCGUAACAUACCUAUUAUGGUAUCUCGUCUUUUGGCAUUUCAAACGUUUCUUCUUCAUGAAGAAUAGGUAAACUUAUUGGCACAUCUUCAUUCAUUGUCUUAGGGACAUGCAAUUUCUUGAAUGUAUUUACAACUAUUUUGCCCAGUCUCGGAGAUAUCCAAUUACUUGAAUGAAUCUACUGUUGCUUUACGUUUACCAAUCACGGCAUCAAAUCGUUAUUAUAACGACUCAAUUUUUUUAGCUAAAGAAAUUGCAUGGUUUAAAGUUUAGAUAGUGUAUGAAGGCAUUUUACUUUUAUUAUGAAAAGUUAGCCCUUCAAAAAUAUCUUGUAAUUAUGUGCUCCUCAGGUUCAUAAUAAUAUUUACACCUAUAAAAUUGUUCAAACUCAUAAGCAUAAUUAAUUAGGAACUAAUCUCAUAGCUUGUCAUAACAAACAACAAUCAAGACAGAUGAACAUGGAUCUCAAAAUUUGCCUCAUACCAUUUCAUGAUUGAAUUAUGCAUUAUCCUAGCUGAAGUCAAGACUUUUGUAAGUGUUGCCACCAAACUCGAACGCUUUAUUUCCAGUCUACGGGCAACACAUUAUACUUUUCUUCAGGAAUGCACCUAUUUAUAAGCCAUUGCUCAUUCGUGUCCGACCAAUCAAGAAAUUUCUGAGGGUACCAGUAUGCAUGAAAGAACGGCACAUUGUAAAUGGGGCAUUAAGGACGGUAGUUUAACAUUGGUUUUCAAUUUCCUUGCAAUGUGCAUAAUGUGAGUGGAAUCCAAAAUAUACAUGUGAAUAGACUAGACAUGCAUCAACAUCAAUUGAUCUCUACCUGUAAGAUUGCAAAAGAAGCUUGGGGUAUUCUUGCAGACACACAUGAAAGCGAAGUUGUGUUAAAACAUUCUAAACUUGAGCAACGUACAACUGAAUUUGAAAAUCUUAGAAUGUUUAUAUGAACAUGGGGAAAUUGUUUAUUUUAAUGUUGUACUUCUUAAGAUUGCUUAUGAAUCUUAUGCUCUUGGUAAACGAACUUUUGAGGAAGAAUUUAUUCAAAAGAUUUUGAGAUGGUUGCCUGACAGAUUCAUACCUCAUUAAAAGGUGGUGUCAAUUGAAGAAUAUAAUGACAUUAGCACUUUAACUCGAAGUUCAGUUAUAGGCAGAUUUCAGACUUUUGUGAUAAAUUUUCUAAAGAAGGACAAGAAAGAGAAAAGCAUCGCUUUUUAAGCUGAAGUACGAGUCCAAGAGAGUGAUUCAAAGGAGGCAAUUGAUGACAUGGAUGACAUUGGCAACAGACUUUUGUGAUAAAUUUUCUAAAGAAGGACAAGAAAGAGAAAAGCAUCGCUUUUUAAGCUGAAGUACCAGUCCAAGAGAGUGAUUCAAAGGAGGCAAUUGAUGACAUGGAUGACAUUGGCAAAUCACUUGAAUUGCUAACAAAGAAGUUUUGUGACAUUGGCAACAGACUUUUGUGAUAAAUUUUCUAAAGAAGGACAAGAAAGAGAAAAGCAUCGCUUUUUAAGCUGAAGUACCAGUCCAAGAGAGUGAUUCAAAUGAGGCAAUUGAUGACAUGGAUGACAUUGGCAAAUCACUUGAAUUGCUAACAAAGAAGUUUCACAAGGUGGUGAAGAAAAAAGGAGGCUACAAAUAGAAACAGUCAUCAAGAUCUUCAUUUUCUUAAAAGAGUAAGUCUAAAUUUAUUUUAGUUUGUUUGAUUUUAACCCAAAAAAGGAAUUCAACGUAGGGAAUGUGAAUGAUAUUGUCAUACUCAGUCACAAUACGCUAAGACUCUCAUGAACGAAAGAAGAAGAAAGUAAUGCAAACAUCUUGGAGUGACGAUGAUUCUGAUGAGUGCAUUGAUAACGAAAAUCUUAUCGGAGGACUUAUGUUGCUUGUAAAGAAAUUUAGAUCAUUAUAUAUAUAGGUAACCUAAUUACCACUCUAAAUUAAUUAGUUACUGUUCACGAGCACAAAUAAACAUACACUAGAAAUAAUAAGUUGCAGAAAGUAGAGCAUGCAAAGGAUUUAUGUGGUUCGUAUAACAUUUCUACGUCCACGUAGCAAUACUCGGCCAGGGAUUAGUCAGUACACUAAGUAUAGAAUGAUUAUAAUCUAUUGGACUUACACAACCUAAGAUUCCCUCUCACUAUUUGCUGUCGCCUUGUUGAAUUAACUUAGACCAUUUUGUUUAGUCAGCACCGCUUAUUUUCUUGUCUACAACUUUGAUGUGAAGUCUCUUUAUUGGUACCAACGUCCCAUCGGGCCUCCCGAAGAGAUAGAUAAUGAAUAGAUUGAAAGCCGAAUAAUACUGAAGUUGAACAAAUAUACGUAUAAUGCUUGAAUAGCUCUCGGUUUGUGCUAUCAAUACAGAGCCCAAAUAUGGCUCAAUUAUAAUAUGCAUGCACCGCCUCAUAUGCAAGCAAAUCCGAAUCCGAUUCUUAAUUAAAUAAUAAAGCAACCAAAGCCGCGAAAUUUGAAUUAUAAUCCAAUUUAUUCAUCUCUCACGUAAUGUCCUUAAUUCAAAUUGAACAAGGCUUGGUCAAUUAUCUUAUGAAGCCUCCGAAGCCAUGCACUUGCCUUCUCGUGUUCAAGUUGUCUUUUCUUGAUUAACUUUGUCUAUGCAUGCUUCAAUUUGACAAGAAAUGAUCUUGCUCCAAGUGCUCAAUUCUUCUAUUUGUAAUAGAAGAACGAAAACUAUUUCUAAGAUAAUUAAAAUAAGAUUACAAUUGAAUAAUAACUCAGAACCCAAUAAUACAAGGAUAUAGAGUUUACAGGUCGAAUGAUAUUGUUUUUCUUGUCUUUAAAAGUAUGAGUACAGUGAUAUAUAUGUACAUGUUGCGAUGCUGUACAAGAUAAAAAUUAAGUGAAAGUGUAAUUAACUAUUUUGAUUCGUGGCCGCUAAUUGAGGAACUAGCCAUUGAAGAGUCAAUGAGAAUCAUGCUUGAUUUCUUUUCAUGAGUUUUCCAUAGAUUGAAUCAAUCGAUCUGGUGCGAAUCUUUUUACCAAAACUAUCAAAUUGCCGUGUUUGAUUCAGGCGCUGUUUUAGAAAAAUGCCCAUUGUUGAUUAUUCCUAACAAAAGAAUGCCAAAUUAACUAAAGACUCAAAAAUCUUUAACAAUCUCUCCCUUUAGCAUCUUUAUGGCAAAAACAACUUAAGUAGAGAAAUUAAAUAUUCCUAAAUCAUUAAAUAAUAUAAAAAAAAGAAUACUGCAUGGAAAGCUCUGAAAACCUUGGACAUGGAGGAAACCCUAUCUUCGGAGGGACUUUUCCCCCGCCGUUUAGGGAGGCUAGAACGACCAAAAAAGCGAGGUUUCGUGAUGAGGAUCAUGCUGGUGUUAACCAUGCGCAGGUCUCGUACAAAGAAACCCUAGUGAAUGCGACGCAAGCGAUAGAGCAAGGAUUUGGAGGCGGACUAAAGGAUUGGGAUUUUGAGGAAGGGGACGUUAUUGAAACUAACGAGGGACCCAUGCCGUCCAUCACUUUCUCGGCUAGGGUUCAUGCUAAGUUGAGUGAGCCUUGGAAGAACUCGAUUGUUGUAAAGUUGCUUGGCUACACAAUUGGCUAUAGAGCCCUUUGUGCAAGAUUGAAUGUCAUGUGGAAAUCAGCCAUGGGUUUUUUGGUGAUUGACUUAGAGAACAAUUAUUACCUGGUUCAUUUUCGCUCGGUAGCAGAUGUUGUUGACGCUCUAACUAAGGGGUCGUGGCUUAUAAUGGGUCACUACUUAACGGUGCAGCCAUGGACGCCCUCUUUUGACUUCACAAACACAGCUCUUGAUCAAGUCACGGUAUGGAUCCGCUUACCUGGUCUUGCUGUUCAUCUUUAUGAUCGAAAAAUCCUACAGAAGCUCGGUCAGUUAGUAGGCAUUGAAUUUAAAUCGACUCGAAUACAACCUCCUCAUCUCGUGGAAGAUUUGCCCAUCUUGCAGUGAGUAUCUCAUUAAUUGGGCCAGUGGUGUCUCAGUUUGAGUUGGAUUGGAUGAUCUAGAAGGUGGAAUACGAGGGAUUGCCAGUAAUAUGUUAUAAGUGUGGACGUUACAGGCACAGUAGUAGUAACUGCAAGGAUGCUGGUAACUCGACAAGUUCUAAAGAUGCUGGUCAACCCCAACAGGCUAUGCCAGGUAAUGAGGCUCCUGGCCAACAUGAAGUAUUUAGUAAUGACGAUAGAAAUGUGGAACCAUUUAGACCCUGGAUGAUUGCCACCAGGAGAGGAAGGAAGCCUAAUAGUGGUAAGGAGAACACUGGUGACUCAAAUCGUAAUCGGGAGUUUAUUGGAGCUGGUACUUUAAGGUUUCAAAUAUUAGCUUAAGUCUCGAAUGAAGGUGGAAACCAUGUGCAUGCGGCUUGCACAGAUUUCCCUUCCACCUUACGGCAACCAUUUAUACCCGCCUCAAACCCUAUUUUUACCUCCAAUACAGAAAACACAGCAAAGACUUUGGCUCGUCGUAAGCCACAAAAUAAGGCUGUGGCAGCAAGAACUCAGAGUAGGAAACCAAAUGUCCCAGUGACUCCUACCUGUAACCCUUUCUAGCAGAGUGCUUUCAAUAUCAGAGAUGAGGAUAUAACUCCCUUACCCCAUGCAAACCAAAAUUUUAAACCACACAUUUUCCCUCAGCAAGUUUCUAGCAAUCAAAUUGUGUCCCCUUUCGCAACUACCUUGGAUCCCACUAAACAUACAGUGGUCUUUUGUUCUUAUCAAACCCUUCCUAAUGGGGAUAUGAGGGAAGUGGCCACGGAGCACAUAGAAAGGCAGGGACCGGACCCACAACACUUAGUCGAUCCUCCAGAUGAUCAAAACACCCUUCGGGCGAAGGAAGGUGGAAAUGCUUAUACCCAUCCAGCUGUGCCUAUGAGUGGUGUUGAUGGGGAUGGGAUGGCUGAUGAUGAAGAUUCGAUGGUUCAAGAAACGCAGUUGGCGUUGAUGGAUUAUGUCAUUGAACAGCAGUAGUAGGCUUUUAUCCUCUCUUCUUAUAUUUUUUAUGUCAAUAAGUAUUAUGUUCUGGAAUGUCCAAGGGGCAGCCUCGGGGGAGUUUAGGUGCUCGUUUAGGACAAUUAUUAAAAAUUACAAUCCAUCGAUGGUUGUUUUAAUGGAACCUUGUAUUAGUGAGGUUAAAGCCGAUGACUUUAUAAAGAAGAGUGGAUUUGAUUAUUCGCACCGGGUGGAAGCUGUAGGAUUCUCUGGAGGAAUUUGGCUUCUUUGGCGAAAUUCUAUAGAGGUGGAGGUUUCAAUUAAUUAUAGGUAGUUUAUUCACUUUAAAAUUUGUAUGAACAAGGUCUUUGUGUCUUGGGCAACGACUAUUUAUGCCAGUCCAAAUCCAAUGUUGCGGAGACAACUGUGGUGUCAUAUGGAGAACCUUGCGCUUUCAAUCCAAGGCCCUUGGUUGAUUGAUGAGGAUUUCAACUCUAUCUUAUAUGCUUCAGAAAAACAGGGGGUGUGGUCAGGAACGUAGGAGUGUGUAAUUUGUUUUGGAAGUGGUUUGAUGAACAUCAAAUUUUUGACUUAAAAUUCAAAGGUCCAAGGUUUACUUGGUCAUGUUGAUUGCUUUUUAAACGGCUUGAUAGAGCUUUGUGCAACAGUGAAUGGCUGCUUAAGUAUACGGAUAAUUCUAUGGUCCACCUCCCGAAGGUUGCCUCGGAUCACAGGUCGGUGAUGGUUCGGUUUAAGAGAGUUGUGGCUGGCCAUCAGAGGAACAUGCCUUUCUGCUUUUUGACUACUUGGUUAACACACGAGCAUUUCAGUAAUUUUGUAAAGCGGUUGUGGAAUCCGCAAACCUACUAUAGUGCAGCAGCUUCUCAUUUUGUUCAAGAGGUUCAAGCUUGGAAACGAGAUGUGUUUGGGAAUAUCUUUUAGAGAAAACGUCGGCUUAUGGCUCGGAUUAAUGGGAUUCAAGCCACUCUAGAGAACUAUAGCUCUCACAAUUUGAUGCGAUUAGAGGCCCGCUUGCGAAACGAGCUCGAAAUGGUGAUGAGCCAAGAGGAAAUUCUUUGGCUUCAGAAAUCUAGAAAUGAUUGGCUUUUGCAUGAGGACAGAAAUAUGAAUUUUUUCCACCAAAAAACUAUUGCUCGAAGGCGGCGGAAUAGAAUUGAGGCCAUCUGAGAAAAUUUGGGGAAUUGGCUAUAUGAUGAGGAAGAUAUAAGGAGGCAUGCAGUGGGGUAUUUUUCUGAUUUAUUUAAAAGUGAAAAUGCAAUUUAUCAAAAUUACCACGUUCCAAAUCUAUUUCCAACCUUGGAUUCUCAUGAUGUUGAUGGUGCCGCAGCCCCAGUUUUGAGGGAGGAAAUUAAAAGAGCCGUGUUUAGUAUGAAGCUGCUGAAAGCCCCAAGUACGGAUGGUUUGCAUGUUAUAUUUUAUCAAUCCCAAUGGCAUGUUGUUGGUCCGUCUUUUUGCAGACUUAUUGAUGAUAUUUUUACCACGGGCAAGGUCCCACAAGAGAUUAAUACUACCCUCCUAGUUUUGAUUCCUAAAGAGAAGCACCCUACUAGCUUAAAGAUGUUUAGGCCUAUAAGUUAAUGCACAGUUGCCUACAAGACGGUGACUAAAAUUAUAGCUAAUCGCUUACAAUCGCUGCUGCCCAAUCUAAUAGGCCCCAAUCAGACAAGUUUUAUUCCUGGGAGGCAUAUAGUAAAUAAUAUUAUUGUGGCUCAGGAAGUAGUUCAUUCCAUGCGUAGAAAAACUGGCAGGAAAGGAUUUAUGGCCAUUAAGGUCGACCUAGAGAAGGCAUAUGACCAGUUCAAUUGGGAUUUCAUUUUUGAUACGCUUCAACAUACUGGUAUUCCAAUUCAUUUAUCUAGACUCAUAAUGGAAUGCAUAACUUUAACUAGUAUGAGCAUUUUGUGGAAUGCUGAGGCUACAGAGGAUUUCAUUCCGGGGAGAGGUAUCUGUUAGGGAGAUCCUCUCUCGUCUUAUCUUUUUGUUCUUUGCAUCGAGCGGUUAAGUCAUGAUAUAACCCAAGCGGUGAUGGAUGGGAGAUGGAGGCCUAUUUGGUUGGCCAAAUAUGGAACUCCUCUAACACAUCUUUUUUUUUACAAACGAUUUACUUUUAUUUACGGAAGCUUCGAUUGAUCAAGCUUAUGUCGUUGAAGUUGUUCUGGAUAAUUAUUGUGGGAGUUCUGAAGCAAAAGUCAAUAAAAUGAAAACUAAAGUUUUCUUCUCUAAGAAUGUUGCUACUUGGGAUGACAAUCUCAUAGGUUCCACAUUGGGAUUUUCAGCCACAAAUGAGUUGGGUGAUUAUCUUGGAAUGCCCUUAAUUCAUUCGCGGGUAAAUAAAGAUACGUAUCAAUCCAUUCUUGACAAAAUAGAUAAGUGGCUUACUGGCUGGAAUACGGCUCAUCUAUCUUUUGCUGGACGAGUCACCCUGGGUCAAUCAGUUCUGCAAGCAAUGCAUGUUUAUACCAUGCAAACGACCUUUCUUUCUUCUCCGGUGCGGCAUAAAAUAGACAAAUCUUGUCAGCGUUUUAUUUAGGAUGGGAAGUCAAAGAGUCACAAGAUGAGUAUGGUGGGAUGGGACAAAAUUUGCAUGCCGAAAAAUCACGGAGGUCUAGGGUUUAAAAAAAU
rnacentral:lncRNA from 1 species